rnacentral:lncRNA from 1 species
UGUCUUCCCCUCUCUCUCCAAAUUCCUAUGCAAUGUUUCUCUAAGGUUGGGCUUUUGUGACCAUUCAUGGCCUUAGUUUCACCAUUUUUAAAUAUUUUGAAACUCGUUUUUAUUUAGGAGUUAGUUUAGUCUCAAUCUACAUGUUCGAUUGAGCUAUAAUUGUUUUUGUUUUUUUAUUGUCAUUAUAUAUAAUGAGUCAAUUUACCUUUGGUACAAGGAAAUCAAAAUUAAUUGUAACUAUCUGAUAGCUUGGGUGUAUUACAAAGUUUGAAAGAAUUUUCUUUUGAAUUUUAAAUUUAAUCAAUAAAUACAGCUACCCAAUUUUACAUCCAAUUAUCAAGACUAAUUAUGACCACUUUAUACUAAAAGUAAAUAGUCUCAUUAUAUACUUUCACUUUCUAUUACAAGAUUCAUAAUUUAUUAAGAAUCGCUUACCAAAGCCAGCUGAUGCCAAAAUGAGCCAAUUUAUUUGUCUUUUGACUUGAGGUUUCAAUAUUGCUAUAAAAAGGAAAUAAAAAUAAAACUGGUUCAAAAGGUGAAAUGAUAAAUAAAAAGAACCUGAUACAAAAGUCCAACCAUUUUUCAAAGCCAGCUUUAUAAUAUAAUACAAGGAUAAUUAUAACGGGCAUCAUGCUACGUAAAUUUAUCUUAGUCUAGUUAUUCAUAAUAACAGAAUAGACUACUUAAAGUAAGAUUUAGAUGAAGGAAAAAGUUUAUACAAGCUUGCAACUUUAAAAUGUAGAAGUAAAGAUGGACCUCAAAAAUCCAUCCAAAAAUGUUGUUUUAAGGUUGAAAAACCCUCUAAUUGGUCAUCUUGACAUCGAGAUGUGUGAAUACGAAAAAAAAAUAUUUUGAGUCCCAAAAAUAGCGCAUCUUGUGUCACAUUAUCUAGACCAUCAAUUUUCAAGAUUUUCACAUGUUUAUAGAUCUACUUGAUUUUAACUAUUUUUGAAAUUUAAAAUUUUAUAAUUAGAUACAAAGAUAGAAUUUCAAAUAAUCCUAAUAAUUUUUUACACCAAAAUUACACGUUAUGAUAAAAUUUGGAAGUGCGCCUUAAUUGGAUUGUUUAAGGUUGCAACCUUAUAGAAACCACACCCUUAGAUGAAAAGACAUGAGGAUUAGGCCCCAUGAAAAUAUUUCAUGUUUCCAAAUCAUAUUUUUCCAUAAGCUCAUUGGACCUCAGAAAUCUUGAUAACAUAAGUUUUCGAUAAAAUUUAUGUUGGCGGUCUAUUUAAUACAACCCAACUUUUUUACCCGAACAUGGGACAUGUUAAGAGAAAAUUUAAGAUCAUCUCCCUUCUUAGACAAAAAACAUGGAUCCAUCCGUUAUACCGAUUUGUAUCGGCUAAAUCAGUGAUCUAGACAAAUUUUUAAAAUAAAAAAAAUAAAAAGAGGAUUUUGCAUAGAUUAUCUUUCCUAUGAUUUGAAAUCAUCAAACAAAUGUGUUACAGGAUGGGAGUAAUGAGUUUAUGAAAUACUGUUCCGAACUAUAAAUAUAGUUAACCCAAUUCUGGGCGGGAAUCGGCUCAGUGAGGUAUCAACUGGAUCAACAACUUUUACAACCCUAUUGAUAAACUAUUGAAAAUAAGAAUUAAAUAAUAAACUAAAAUCAAACCUUUUAAACCAUGCUUUACUUAUGAAGAAAGUUUAUGUAAGGUUGCAACCUUAUACUAUUGAAGCAAUGUGCAUCUUAAAAAUUCUCUAGUUGAAAGUACUCUUAUGCCGGGAAAUCCACCAAUUGAUCAUCUCAAUCUCGAGAUACGUGGAUAUGAAGAAAAAGAAAAAUUUUAGUUUUUAAAUAUAGUAUAUCUUGUAACAAAAUUAUUUAAACCUCCUAUUCAAUAUUUUCUAAUAUUCACAGAGAAGGUCGAUCUGUAUUAUUUUUACGAAAGUUGAAAUUUUAUAAUUAUGAAUAAAAAUAGAUUUUCAAGCCAUUAUAAGAUUUUGGACACCAUAUUUACAUCUCCAAGCAAAGCUUAGAGGCCCUAGUACAAGGAAGGCAUCUUAUACCAACCUCACAGUUUGUUUACUUUUGGGUGUGGUUUGUCCAAGGUUGGGUCUUAAAUGAUCAAAGUUGAAAAAAGUCUCGAAAAAUAUUUUUCUGUCAUGGAAAUCUUUGUGAAUGGUUGAAAAUUUAUUUUUAUAUUUAAUUAUAAAAUUUAAAACUUAAAAAAUAGUACAGAUUGAACAUAUCUAUGAAUAUUAAAAAUUCUUGAAAAUUGACAAAAUCUUGAAAAUGUAUUAUUUUCGAGACUUAAAAAUUUAUUUUUUCUUCUAUCCAUACAUCUUGAUGUCAAAAUGAUCCAUUUAAGUAUUUUUAGCCAUUGAAACGGCCUUUUCUAAUGAAUUUUAAAUUUACGAGGUGCGCCUUUGAUUGUUUAGGGGCCCACCCUUAUAUAAAUUUUUUCUGUUACUUUUUCGACAAUAAAAAGCUCAGCCGAAAUAAUGCAAUGGAAUAUCUCCGAAAUCAGGUCCGAAAUGCACACUAUUCUGUCGGUAUUGCACCGAAAUCUCUGUGUGGACCAAAACCGGAGUCCCAUCUUUGGUUUGGUCACUUUAAAAAUGACCAGGGUAUUUUUGUCAUUUUUAACACGCAACUUUUACUGUCUCCUCUUUUAUUUAGAAUUCUUUGCAAUCAAAUUUUCAUCGCCUUGAAGCUUUGAGUUUCAGGAUCGAGACGAGCGUUUUUUUCCAUAUUUUGUACGGUUAGAUUUCCAUUUUUUUUUUCCUUUUGAUUUUGAGUGCUCACUUCUGCAUUUUUUUUCUUGAAUUUCUGCUUUUUUCAGGUUUAAUUUGUGUUCAUUUAGCUGGCUUGUAGUUCUAUAGCUGUUAAAAAUUUAAAGUCUUUGAUCGGAUCGUUCCAGUUUUGUUUUGUCCUUUUAUUGAUGUCUGAUUGAGUGGAAGCAUCUGUAGCUUUCCAGUGAGAAAUGAUGCAUUUAAAUGGCAGUUUAAUUGUUAAUUUUAAGCUUUAGUUUAUUUUUACAGUAUUUUGAGUGUAAACCACGUUAGAUUGAUGAAGGUAGUUUUAAUGGAAAUGAUCAGACGUUCAAAUCGUUUUAAGAAUCUCACUUAAAAUCCUUUUGUGUGAUCAAUCUUUUAUAACAAAAAGUGAAAUUCCUUGUUAAAAUUCUUCAUUGUGAAUUUUCUUUUAGUUUCGGAUUCUUACAAUUAAAUUAGUGUUUUCUGGUUUAGUACUUUCUUUUGUAGGCCCCUGCAUAGUAUUUUUAGUCAAAAUCUAUUUUUAGAGGGUAAAUUUAAGCUUUGGUUCCUGUGUGAUAGUAAUUUUAAAGCCAAUUUAGCUUCUCUGAUUAUUGGUUGUUCAUACUUUUUUUUUAAAUGAAAUUUACUGCUGGGUGUAUAGAGUUCACUAGGUCAAGGCAUUUUAAAAAUUCUAACUGAAAUCUUUUGAGGAUCAAAAUUUUACUAUAUAAGAUUUAAUCUCUAGCAUAAAUUGUUAAACUUCUGCAAAAGGACUGCAUUGUGUUUUUAAUUUUUUUUUUUUAAACAAAGUAGCAAGUAAGAUUUUGCAGUUUACUACUCUCUGAAUUUUCAGAAUGUAAGCAUUAAUUACUACUUAUAGUACUUCUUGAAUAAUCACUAGAUUCUUCAGAUUAUUAUAAAAAAUUGAGUUUCUUAUUGGACUAAUUUGUUAUGGAGUCUCUUAUUGAUCAGAAUAUUCAAGGGUUAAUUAAAUCAAGCACCAUUUCUUGAAGCAUUUUUGAGAAUAUAUCAUUUUUAAGAUAGUAGUUUUAAGAAUAUAUGGUUCUUAUAUCUGUUCUGAUCAGUUUAAUUUUGAGAAUAUAUCACUCUUCUCUAUCAGGAUGAUAUGCUAUGAACCUUUUCUGGGUGCUUCCUUGAGGAGUAGAUUUUGAAAGUUUAAUCUUUUCUUGUUAGACAUAAUCUCAUAUCUAUCUUUAAGCUUCUGUUCUAAGAAAACUACAUUUAUAGCUUUUUGGAAUUUGGGGUCACAUAUUCUGACACUAAAGUCAUUGUUCUUUUGCUAUAUACAUUUGCCUUGAAACGUUUAUAAUCAAUUGGUACAUGCUUAAUCCAAGUUCUUGUUUCAGAUUGAUCCAUUAAAUUGUUGGGGAGAUUCAUUUCUCGGCAACCCUAUGAGCAAAUGGUAAUCUCAUUGCUGUCACAAAAUUCGGAAGAAAUGUAUGGUGCACUUGUAUCAGGAAACCAUGGUCUACUCUUGAACGUGGGUACUAUUAUUUUUGGGUUUCUUCUUCCUAUAUUGCUUUCUUUAAUGGUCUUUGGAAAGAAGAAAGCCAAAACAAGGGGAGUUCCAGUUGAAGUUGGUGGAGAGCCUGGUUUUACAGUGAGAAACAAUAGAUUUGAUGCUUUGGUUGAGUUACCAUGGGAAGGGGCCUCAACUCUUGCUGCUCUUUUCGAGCAGGCUUGCACGAAGUACGGUCGCAAUAAGUUUAUUGGUUCAAGAAAGCUUAUCAGUAGAGAAACAAUGACCUCAGGUGAUGGAAGGCCUCUUGAGAAACUCCAUCUUGGUGAAUAUGAAUGGUUGAGUUUUACAGAGACUUUUAAUCGUGCUUGUGAUUUUGCUUCGGGUCUUGUGAAAUUGGGGCAUAAUCCAAACCUUCGUGUUGUGAUUUUUGCUGAAACUAGGGCUGAAUGGUUUAUCGCCUUGCAGGUGACAUGACUGAUCAUAUAAUGACCGUCUUUAAUCGUUUCGGAUUCUCUAAUUCAUUUGCCUAUAGGUGCCUUCAACAAAAAUGUUUUAUAAUUAAUUUAUAGCAAACAAAGUCCACAGAGUUGUGUUUUUUGAUAAGUAUACAGUGGAGCGGUUCAUCUGCACCAUCCAUCUUUGAGAUGGACAGUGGAGAUGAAAAGUUACUCUAUAGUGUGUAUACUAAGCUCAGUAUAUACGGUAUGCUUCCCUUUCUUUAUGGAUUUUGGUAUUGCAUUCAUCUCCUGAUAAUAAGUUGUACUUUAGAAGGCCAUCUCAUUUCUAUGCAGGACAUAAAAAGGAGUAAGGUUGUCUUUACACUUUGGCAUUAAUUUACAUCAUUUUUGUUUUUUACUAUAGGGUUGUUUCCGUAAGAGCAUCACGGUUGUUACAAUCUAUGCUUCUUUGGGAGAAGAGGCUCUUACCCACUCAAUUAAUGAGGUGAGUUAUCCAAUUCUCGUACUGUAUUGCUCGAAGAAGUUAUGUUACUUGUUAUCGCCUUGGAAUCUAAAUGAUAGUGCCAAACAACUCGUCGUGUCACCAGCAAUGCAUGUGAUGUAAUAUAUUAUAGUUUGUCUAUAAUUUUACUAAUAGGUGGGAAUGAGUUGUUUUGGCUGAUGUAUUUUAUUAAAGUCAUUGUAUAGUUUGACAUUUGAAGCUGCAAUAUAUGAACAUAAGGCAAAAAAUUAUAUCAUACUGGGAGUAAACCGGAGGGAUUUAUCUCCUAGUGUUUUUGCCCUUUUUUUUAGCACUUCAGUUUUUUCUUCUUCUUCUUUUCUUUUGCCUGAUCUAUGUGUGCUCUGUUCCAGCCAGACAAAUAUGGACCAUUGACCUGAGUGGUAUUCAUUUCUGGUUGGUUGGAAUUUUAGUUGGGAUUUCGAAACAUACUUUUUUAUUCUAGUGUGCUUCUAGCUGUUGACUAGCGUAGUUCUAUUGAGAUGCUAGACCUACAGAGCAAAACAGACCAACAAACAUGUUCUCAUCUUUACAUUCUUUUUCUGUCUUUUUCUGUAAAAGGGCCAAAUACUUAUUUCAUUAGUUUUGCAUCGAAUGUCAUCCCCACUGUUGUGCUUAAUGCUAAUAUAUAGAUAAACUCAUCAGUUACACCUCAAAAGAGCUAGUUAAUCCAGCUCAAAUCCUGUGUGUUGUUUGUCUUUCUUUUGCAGACACAGGUCUCUACAGUGAUAUGUGACUCCAAACAACUCAAAAAAUUGGCUGCUAUAAGUUCAAAUUUGGAGACUGUCAAGAACAUAAUUUACAUAGAAGAUGCUGGAGUUUCAGUGGAUUCUGGUUUGUCAGAGAAAAUGCCAAAUUGCAUAUUAUCAUCCUUUUCUGAAGUUGAAAAAAUUGGGAAAGAAAAUCCCACUGAUCCAAUACUACCAGUCAAAACUGACAUUGCGGUCAUCAUGUAUACAAGUGGAAGCACAGGAGUACCCAAGGUUUGAACGGACUGUUCUUUCAUACCACCACAUGUAUGGCCAGUUUCCUGCUUUAUUAGUCUGAAAUAUAAAUUUUAGGAUCCACCCCAUAUUUGUGUAGGAAGAAAAUGAGUGACAUAAGAAUGGGUAUUGAAUCUUGAUCUCUUUCUUUUCAAACUCCUAUCUAAUUGAUAUGAUCUUUUUUUUCAUUUAAAUAUUUGUACAUUAAACUUUUAUUUCUUUAGCACAAUUAAACAGUAACCAGAAUGUGCUGCCUGAAGACGACAUCAUUGGCUGUUGGUUUCCAUGCUGUCCUUUGUAUUGUCAUUUACUUCAAACUAUGGAUAUCUUUGGUAAUGAACUUUGUGUAGACACUUUUUACCAAAACUUGCACAUAAACUUAUAAGUUGCCCUUGUGCACAUUUCAUGCAAACUUGAACGUGGAGAGUUACAUGUGUCCAUGACGCCUUAGUACCCAGCACAAUCGAUUUGCUUCUGUAUUAAUUAUCAAGAGUAGUUACUUUGCAAACAAUUUCUUCAAAAAAAAGAAAGAAAAUGAUUACUUUGUUUACUUUUCACUGAUUUCGCCUACCAACAAUUUCUUAGUAGAAAUGGUUGCAAUUAAUAUAGAAUCCUAACAACUCACUACUAAUAUAUUUAUUUAGUGGAAGCUUCUUGGAGUAUGAAUCACUCUUGUGAUUCUUAUUGUAUGGAAUGAAAAAUUACCGAUGAAAGAACAAUUGGAAUGGGCAUUCAUUGGAAAGAAAACUAUUGGAAUGAUAUGAAAUACCUCUAGGGUAAUUCUCUAAUAAAUUACCGGGAACUUGAUAAGGUGUUGAAAGUGGGAUGUGUGACUACUUACAAAUUUGUUCUGCGCUGCCUUUUCCUAGAUAUGCUUUUCAUUUUACUAAAGGUGUCUCUUUGAUUACCAACCAUUUUAUUCUUCGGCUUGUAAUUGACAUCAAUGUUGUGUAUUUCAGUUCUUUUUCUCGAUGAUUAAGACUAGUGUCUUGUUCAACAAUGCAGGGAGUGAUGAUGACCCAUGGAAAUAUUAUUGCGACUGCAGCAGCUGUGAUAACAACAAUUCCCAAUCUGGGCAUCAAAGAUAUUUAUUUGGCAUAUCUUCCUUUAGCACAUGUUCUUGAGUUGGCAGCUGAAGUAAGAUAAUGCAAUAUCAUUCAUUGGUGUCAAAAAACGUAGUAGACUAUCCGUAUCUGAUUUGGUGAUAUUGUGUUGAUUUCCAGGCUGUGAUGUUAGCUGCAGGCUGUGCAAUAGGUUAUGGUUCAGCAUGGACUUUAACUGACACAUCGAAUAAAAUCAAACAAGGAACAGAAGGCGAUGCUUCAGCCUUGAAACCCACACUCAUGGCAGCUGUUCCUGCAAUUUUAGAUCGUGUACGGGAUGGUGUUAGGAAAAAGGUGAUUAAGUGAGUCCACACUUGUAUUUGGAGUAUUUGAAUGCAUUGGAUUAAACUAAAUGCUUGAUUGUUGUGACAAAUAUAUAGGUUGAAGAAAAGGGUGGGAUGUCAAAGAAGCUCUUUGACAUUGGAUACAAACGUAGGCUUGCAGCUAUAGAGGGAAGCUGGUUUGGUGCUUGGGGACUAGAAAAGGUCUUGUGGGAUUUCAUUGUUUUCAAGAGAAUACGUUCCAUACUCGGAGGACAUGUUCGCGGUGUGCUUUGUGGUGGAGCUCCUUUGUCAGGAGACACUCAAAGAUUCACUAAUAUAUGCCUUGGGUAAUCAAUAUUAUACCUUUGCUGACCUCCCAAAAUAAUGAUUAUUUCUUUUCUUUAUUUUCCCAAGAAACCUAUAAAUCUUUAAUUUCUUUGUAUGUUUUUGUCCUGAAUAAUAUUGGGCAAGGAUUAUUUGAAAUAUAAAAUGAACGAGUGUUCUAUACAAAAAGAUUUUACACGGUUCAUAUUGACCUCAAAUAGUCUGCUAACAUAGGAAUGCAUUGUGUCUUAACAUUUGACACCUAUGCUUAUAUUCUCUUGUUUUAAAUUGUAGUAUGUAAGUUUUGGUUUCCAAAAUAACUAGGAGCUUUUACAGGAUUAGUGAAUCAUAAUGUGAUUGGUACUCUUCAGGGCACCAGUAGAGCAGGCAUAUGGAUUGACUGAGACAUGUGCUGGGGGCACAUUUUCUGAUUGGGAUGAUGAAUCUGUUGGUCGUGUGGGGCCUCCUCUUCCAUGUUGCUAUGUAAAGGUAUCUCAUAUUUUAUUUGGCUAACGGAAACUUCUAAUUUGUUCUUAGUGCAAGAAAUUCCAAAUCCCAUUCCCAUUAGAAAAUCAUCCCAAACUUUUAUGUUUCUUUUCAUAUAAAUAAAAGUGACAAAGAAUGCUGGUUAGUCAACACAAGAGCCCCUAAAGCUGGUUGGACUUGAGCUCAUUUGCCAAUAAAAGUUUCUAAUUUGCUCUUAGCGAAUAAAUUUCAUAUCCUUUAUCAGAGAAUUUUCCAGGAACUUUUUACAUCUUUUUCAUAUCAACAAAGUAGCAAAUAAAACUGAAUAUGGGCUAGCCAACACAAGAACCCCCAGCCCAGUUAUUGGACUUAAGCUCAUUUGCCUAUGGGAGUUAGCAUGUCCCUUUCUUUUAUCUUAAGCACUGUUAAAUAGGUUUUUGAGGGUGAAUCAAAUUUUCACAUUCUCACCGCAUGUGUUUGUUCCAAUUCCACAGCUUAUUUCUUGGGAAGAGGGUGGAUAUAGGACUUCUGAUACACCAAUGCCUCGAGGGGAAGUUGUCAUUGGGGGACUGAGUGUAACUCCUGGUUAUUUCAAAAAUGAAGAAAAAACUAAAGAGGUUUACAAGGUAAGGAACUCUUUUAACUCAAACAUUGUAAUCACUAAACACACGUUACAAGCGUCUAAUACUAUAUGACACUAUAAAUGUCACAGACGGAUGAAAAGGGGGUUCGAUGGUUUUAUACUGGUGAUAUUGGGAGAUGUCAUCCUGACGGUUGUCUAGAGAUCAUUGAUAGAAAGAAGGAUAUAGUGAAACUUCAACAUGGAGAAUAUAUUUCUCUUGGAAAGGUAUUUGAACCUCAUCUAUAGAUCAAAUUUCAUGUUUUAACCUCUUCUGAUCAUCAAGGAUCACAAGAGCGGUACAACUAAUUGGUGCCUUGUUAUAGGUUGAGGCAGCCUUGUUAACAAGCAACUAUGUGGACAAUAUUAUGGUGCAUGCUGACCCAUUCCACAGCUACUGUGUCGCAUUGGUUGUCCCAUCACGGCGUUCUAUUGAAAGCUGGGCCAAGAAUUCAGGUAUUGAGUGCAAGGAUUUCACGGACCUGUGCCAGAAGCAGGAAACUAUCAAAGAGGUUCAGCAAGCUCUCAUGAAGGUCAGUAGUUGAGCUUUCUCUUUGUUAAGCAAGUAUCUAUAAUAUUUGCCUUUCAGGACUUAUUCUAAGCUUUUUCAAGUCUAUCUUUUGUGGAAGGAUUAACAUACUGAAAUUACUUUUUUAGGGGAAUCUGAAAUUGCCUUGGAAUUUCAUCUUUUGUCUUUUAUGAGAGUAUACGCUGCUUUUGAACUAUGUAUGGUGAUAUUGAUACUCCAAAUAGUUGAUGACAACCACCUAGAGAGUUGAGAUGCACAUGUGGGUGCAUUCACGUGUAAAUUCGAUGUUUGCGUUUUUACCUGGGUUUCGAGUUUCUCCUUUUAUUCCCACAUGCACGUGCUAAAAGAGUCACCUCUCUUUCUCUCUCAAAAGUAAAGGAAAACCAGUAUUGUUGAAGUUCUUACUCUGUGAAGUAACUCAUCUCUUGGUAAGAGAAAAACCCUCUCUCUCUCUCUCUCUCACACACACACACAUACAGACACACACAUGCACACGCAUGAACAGCAAACCAUCUGCUUAAAAUUCAUUAUCACUCCGACGACUCGUAUAUCUCAAUGAAGCACACAGUUCAACAAUGAAAAAUCAUCUUCCUGAGAUCUGUGACCUCUCUAAAAAGCCUCAUCUGUCUCUCUAAAGCACAAACAUGAAGCAAAGAUGGUAAUCUUCCUAAAAUUCAUAAUCUCUUAAAAAACCCACCUCUAAAUCAUACCCACACGAAACUAGCGAAAUAUUUGCUGCCAACCUACAUUUGUAAUGACAAACCAGAUCUACUUAUGAAAAUAAAAUGAUUCUCAACUUUAAGCCCCUAAUUUUUUGUGUACAGGCAGGAAAGGAUGCAAAGCUAGACAAGUUUGAAAUCCCGGCAAAGAUCAUGUUGUCGCCUGAUCCAUGGACACCAGAAUCCGGAUUGGUAACUGCUGCCCUCAAGAUAAAGAGAGAAAAUUUGAAGACCAAGUUCAAAGACGAGGUGCAUAACCUGUAUGAGUGAGAAGCAUACACAGAUUCCAGUGUCUUAUAUCUGAACCUCAAAUGAUUUCUAAGUCUAGAGCUUUCAAAGUCAAACUUCUUUGCCUUCACGAUGACAUCAACCCCUUGGGGUGGUAUGUCAUUUACUCAUUUUCAGCCAUUGCCUGCCCCACUUUUUGCUGUGUGUGUGUGUCAUUUUCAGCCAUUGCGUGCCCCAAUUUUGGUGUGUUUGUGUGUGAGAGCUUCAGAUCUUGGGCUACUGUCUCUCUCUAUCAUCUAUGUGCAUGUGCUACCAGUACACAGAUUUCUGGCCAUUGCCAACCUCUCUCUCCCUCUAUGUGCGUGUGUUACCUCAGAUAUCUAGCCGCCAGUUCUCUCUCUCUCACACACAUUGGUCAGCAGGGGGCCAGAAGUUUGCGGCAACUGCCGGGUCUUGACCUGCAUUAGGAUGUCAAUAAUCUUGUACUUAUUUAAAGUAUCGGUAGAAACAUCGAUAUCUAAUAUUGCUAAUGCCAGUACUGUACUCCAUUCUAUCUCGUAGUGUAAGGUUGUUUGGGAUGCUAUAGAUUUUCUAUUUUAUUUCAUAACGGCUAGGUGGUGUGCUUUGUUUAAUGCCGGAUCAUGCCCCUUUUGUUCUGUUUUUUACCCGGUUUUUCUAGAAGUAGCAUUUAAAAACUCGAUUGACUUGUGGUGAAAUAACUUGAGCUACUUUAUGUGGUAUAUACAUGUUAAGCUCUCUCUCUCUCUCUCUCUCUAGGCUAGUAUGUGAUACAUGUUAAGAUAUCUCUCUCUCUCCAUGUACCUGCGCCAGGGGCGGGCCACACACUGUCAGGGUAUGUAUACACAUCCAUGCCAAAUGGUCAAUGGAUUUCUGAACUAAAACAGGCCUAGGCUGAGAGAGAGUUUAUUUGUUGGAUUGAGCCUUUCAAAAUGCAUUCUCCUGUGGAAUAAAAUGGUUGGUUUUAUUCAAUUCUGGUCACAAGAAGAUUCAAUCAUGGUGUUCAAUGUAUUGGGUGGUGAUUCUUGGAUUGGCUGAAUAAAUGGGGGACUUGGGGCGUGUUUUACAUUUUAGAAGCGAUUUUAUGGAGGCAUUUAUAUCAAAGAUCUGAUUGAAUAUUAAUACCUCAUGUUUAUUUUUAAUUUUGGGAAAUUAUGAUAAAAUCCACUUUUUAAAAUUAAAAAAGUAUUAUUAUUAUUUUAUUUUUUUAAAAAAUUUACGUUUAUCCCCAACCUUACACGAUUUCUCUCCUAUUUUUUUAAUUUUUUUUUUUGACCUAGAAUGCCUUUCGCGGGCUCAUGAUACCCGAGGAAUUCCUUUGGUCCCUUGGGCAGCCAUGAUGUACCAUCAUGAGUCACCCGUAUGGAUACUUUUUUGGGCAUCAAAGUCGUAUUAGAGUUGUGAGUCUAUGAUGGACCGUCAAGCUUUAAUUUGUUUUGGGUAUAGACGUAAUUUAUUUGGUGAAACUUUGGGUAUAGAUAUAAUUUGUUUUUUUUUUAAAAGGGUAUUUUAUAUUUCUAAAGAAAAUUAAGGAUAUAUUUAUAAUUUCCUUUAAUUUUUUAAGGCUUUUUUUUUUGGGUAAAUAUUUUCCGCAGUUUUUGGAGGAAAUAAUUUGCGGUUGCAGAGUGAGUUAAGAUGACCAUCAUUAGAUAAUAGAAGAUUCCCUCUGCCAAGGCAUGCAACAUGGCAAUAGCUAGUAUGGUAAAUUAAAAUUUUACUCUCCCUCUGCAUCAUCAACCCUUCCUUUUAUUAAUUUCUGGUGACCGAUAAUCAACAAAAUUUCAACUCCAAUAAAAAGUUCUCCUUCAUGGGGGACAAGAUAAAUUUACAUGUUACAAAUGAAAACUCGACAAUGAUCGAUAUCAAAACAAAAGAAAAGCCACAUAUGCGGCUUUACUCUUCCUUGAUUGCAGCCGAGCGCACAGGUGUAAUCUCAGAGAGUGAUGGCCGGAAGACGAGGUAUAAUACAGGCCCAAGAAAUGGAAUAAGCGUUAAUGGCAAUAACCAAGAACCUUUAUCAUACCUGCAAGUAAAUAACACUUUUCAUUUUUCUGUGUAAAGAAAGAAUGAAAGUUGAGAACAAACUUUUCUAGAGUCUUAGUAUUCUUACCACUUUCUUACAGUCAUAUCAUUGUAGACCCAAAAAGGAGCAAAGGCAGAGAGUAAAGAGAAAUCGAGGGAUGUGAUAUGGACCUGCAAUUGAGAAUUCUUGAUCAAAUAAUCUCCUAAAACAAUAACUCCACUUUCUUAGUUUCUCAUCCUUAUCAGCCUCACAAGUAACUAAUUAAGGGGAAAAAAAUUAAAAUAUUAGAUGAGAUCUUUUGUUGAAAACUAAAACAUAGCAAGAACUCUUCCAAAUCAUUAAAAUGGUUCACUAUUGGUGACUGCUUCGAAAACUGGAGCAUAGCAUUAGCAAUUGAGAUGGUCAUUUGUUUAUUAGGACACCAUAAUACAAGGGUAAAGUUACUCUCAACUCCACUUCUUUAAACUGGUUAAAAAAAUAUUAAACAAUGACAUUGUAUAGGAAACUGUAUUUCUUAUUUUUCUAAAAACUAAAAAGUAAGAAAUCUGAAAAAUGAAAUUUUUAUCUCAAUAACAUACAUGUAAGGAAAUCUUUUUAUAAGGAGAGAUUCCUAAUUGUUAGGUAAGAUAAAUUUAUGCACUGAAACAGUAUUUUUUUGGACUCUAAUUUGUGAGAAGAAAUCCUUACAUUGUAAGAAGAGAACAAAAGCUCAAUGGAUUGUUACCAAAUCAUGGAAAUCAAGGUUGCUUGUUUUAUGAUAAGGAGUUACACAUAUACAUCGUAAGAAAUUUACUGCAAAGAGAGAACAAAGCUUAUAGAAAUUGUUAUUAAAUCAAAACCAUGGGCGCUCAUUUUAUGAUGAUGGGACACACAUACAUCCUAAGAAAUUUACUGUAUAAUGAUGAGAGAGAGAGAGAGAGAGAGAGAGAGAGAUCAUCAAAGAAAUAACUCAAAAGAACCCAAAGAAUGCCAACAGCUUUGCCAGAACCGGUGACUGUCAAGUAUCUCUUUUCUGAUAAGUGGUUGAUAUCAUAUAUCACAAACUGAGAAGCACUUGUUGGAAGUUUCAGAUCAAGAAUUAUAACUCAUCUAGAAAUGAAUGGAAACUCACAUUCAAAGAUUUAAGAAGCUUACAAGUUUGCUUUCUCUGAAGUAUUGAUAGAAUUCUUUCCAUGUAUCGCCACUUGCAAGACCCGCAUAUAUGAUUAGUCCCAAACCACCAAGUGCUAAUGCCUGUUCACAACGAAAACCACUUAUUCUUUUUCUUUAUUUUUAGUUAAAUUCCAAUAAUAUCUAAGGAAAAAUACCACUCAUUCCUCAUCGGAAAAAGAACAUUCCAUCUCAAUCAACAGAGCAAAUAGCCCAAAUCAUGGCUAAGAAUAAUCAACAAACAAAAGUUGCAGCUUAUCAUACCACAGAGGUUAUUUUGGAGUCAAGAAAGUUCAGCGGCCAUUGCCCAAGCUCAGCUUCUUCAAUAGUUGGUGGUGGUGGCCGCCAAAGAACGAAAUAUGGCAGAAGGGCAUAUGCUCCACCAAAACAUGAUAAUAAAACGAAUGGCCAAACAGGAAUUUUGCUUUCUGUGCUGCAUCAAAUGAUGGUUACUAGUGUUAAAACAUCAAAUUUAUGUAAAGCAAUAAAAUGGAAUACUACUGUUUAUAAAAUGGGAAGUCCUAAGAGAAGUAUGCAAAAAUACAUACACACCACAGAAGAAAAAUACUCGUAAUCUAUAGGAAGUCAGGGGAGCCUUACGCAUACACACAUGCAUAUAUACUUACAAAUAUUUUUGUGUAUCGUUCAUGCUAGGAAAUAUAAGUAAUACCAUGAUAGAAGAAACUCUCAGACUGGAUUUCUUCAAUUGCAGUUUACACUACCAGAUUCUAUGGUAUGCAUUCCAUUUUCUCUUAUUGAGUCCAUCAUCUUUUUGUAACUUAUUAUGCAUCUAAAUCUCAAUGUUUUAAAUUGUAUUCUCUUCCUAUAUGUCUAGUUACAUAAAGUACAGCAGCUUUUCCUUCAAAGAAAAUGCAAUUAAGUAGUCUCACUCGACAAGCAAACUGUGUAAAAUGUUCGAUCUUGUCACUAUCCCUAGCUUUAAGAAUGUCAUUCAUGGCCUAGAUCUCCCUUAACAGCAAGUGACAAUCUAUAGUUCGCCAAUAGAAAGUAUGUUGAGAGGUCUACCUUCCCCAGAAAAGCAUUUCAAAGAUAUUCAAGUUGAUACCACUUAUUCUGAAAUGUUAUUUGGAAAUCCCAGUCUGAAACGAAAUUUCUUUGAGAAUAUUUCCAUAUGUUCUUUGUAGAAUUCGUAGGUUUCAUGGAACUAGAAACAAACAACUGUAGGUCUCAAAAACCCAAUACAGAGUAGAGUCAUAUGCAAUGUAAGGCGGUUGUGUGGCUUCAAUUUUUACUUUGAUAAAUGGAUAAACACAUAUAUAACAUACUCAUGUUAUAUGGCAAAACAUGAGUUCUAUCAGCAUGGCAUUCAAGCAUGGAUUUAAUCGGUGGUUCUCUAAAAAACAAGGCUUUAGGUCAAGAGUCGCUAGGCCCGAGUCAGGAGACUCGGACUCUGCCACCUCUGUCAAAGACUCAGUCCAAGUUCUGAUGAUAAAUAAAUAAAAUAUUUGGAAUCAGGCAAGACUCGGCUGGUUCCCAUGAGUUUGGUUACGUACAGCAGCGGCAUGCCAAGACUGAGUAAUUCCAGCGAGUCCAAGUUGGACUCACUGAGUUUUUCUUCACUGCAAUUAAUGAGUUUUUAUUCAGUGCAAUUAAUAAUAGCUCUUAGCAUGUGGAGGUCACUUCCAAAUUACAUGAAGAAAAACUUCAACAAAUAUAAAAGAUUGUUGGUUUUGAAUACCUUCUACCACUUGGAAUAAGUAACAUGGCAUAUAUCAAGGGCCACAAUCCCAUGAUGUACCAAAGGCAAACCAACACUUGAUUCAUCACAAAGCCAUCAUCCCCUUUCAGAUUGAGCAGCUUUUGCAAAAAAUAGUCGUCCCUGGACUGCAAAUUUAUCGAAGUCACCAAUAAAAUAUUUGAAAUAAUGUUGAAAUCGAACAAGGAAGAAAAUGGUCAAUUGUGGAAAUGUCCUAAAAUCAUCUAGGGACGUUAUGGACAAUGUCCUUGUAUGAAUAAUGCGCUCAGGGCUAGGUGGCCAGGAUCGUGAGGUCUUCAGUUCCAUUCCUGCCAUAGGUAGGGACUAGGGACACCUUCCCUGACCUACCCAAUGAAAGAAAAAGAUACUAUAGAAUGUUACAACAAUUACUUAGGGGUGCUAAUUGGGAAAAUGAUUUGAAAUUCAUCGGAGGACACAAUGGUCAUUUUGGUAAAUGCAAGAUGGCAAUGGGCUGGGUUGGCCUGGCCAGCCCAGAACUACAGAGUCCAGGCCCUUCCCUUAGUGAGCCAGGCCUGAGCCAGGCCCCUUUGGAGCAAUUCGGUCCAGGCCCAGCCUGUUGCAACCUAGAGGACAAUGUAACAAGAAGAGACAUUUUCCCAUACAUCCUUACAUAAAAAUUGUAACUAUAAAAAACCAUCUUAAUUUUUCUGACAUUUUUUAAUUGCAAUUUUACCCUGAUUUGGGAUAUUCAAUAUCUGAAGUCACAAAUGACUUUGGAUUUUCAAUAUACAUAGUCAUAUUAAUUUUUUUUAAAGUCAUAUUAGGAUAAAAAUCCAAGAUCACUUCGACUUUCAGAUUUUUAAUAUCCGAAGUUGAAUUGUAAGUAACAUAUCAAUGCAACUUCUGAUAUUCAAACUCCAAAGUCAAGAAUGACUUUGGAUUUUCAAGUGAAAAAUCACUUUAAAGAAGAAAAAAAAAAGCUGACUAGUGCCUUUGAAUUUUCAAUAUCCUGAGUGAGGAUAAAGUUAGGAAAAAGAAAAUAACAGACAAAAGGUACAUCCCCGUUACAAAAAAAUUUGAGGGUAUUUUUGUAAUGACAAAUCUUAAAGGUAUUGUAUAUUAUAAGAUCAUUUGUCUUUAUCUUUGUUACAACGAGGUCACAAUUACUACUAAUCAACAAUUACUACUAACCAUUAGAUGUCAAAAUGGACAGCUUGAUGUGUGUUUGAGAUUUUUUUGUGCCCUGAAAUUUGAGCCUAGUCAGUAACACUUAUAACAGCCCAUUUUGAAAUCUAACAGACAAGAGUAAUUUGUGAGUUUGUGUCCUUCCAUAUCCUACAUUUCGAGUCUUGGACAUUAGUUUUAGAGAGAGAGAGAGGUUGUGACACCUACCGGUGUCUGGUUGGGAGAGAGCAGGAACACAUAGUACAUGAGAACUCCCCAGAGGCCAAACAACAGAACUGAAGUUGUCCAAUCAGCCUUAGUUCCGCCAUUGUUUUCAGAAAUCCCCCUUUCACUCUCUAAAGGAGAGCCAAAUUCUGAUAUUGGAUCCUCUGUUUCCUGGUUUUCAAUGGAGUCUCUGCACAAAUGGGAAGAACCCACUUUCCUAAAUGGCAAAGGGUGGUGGAAAUUGGAUCUUUUACAGAGGUUUUUGAGGGGAAGAUGGGACCUAAUGGUUAGUUUUCUUGAGAUUCUAGGGUUUGGGUUUUGAUAUUGGGGAUUAUGAAUUCUGAAUGGUGGGUGAAAUGAAGAGAGAUUAUAUGAAAUUGGGCUGCAAUUUGUAAGGGAAUAAGGUCUGAGGAGAGAGAAACUGUGUGUCAUUUCUAAGGAAGAGGCCAGUUUGAUUUUGGUGAUGAUAUUCUGCUCUAUAUAAUGGAUAAUGACCAUAAUACCCCUAUUCCGUCCACAAAUGGCUGAAAUGCCCACCACUGAAUGCAAAUGUCAAAAAGCCCCUCCUCCUAUGUGCAUUUGUCCCAAGGUAGUGUUUGGAUGGACCACUUGCUCUCAAUUAGAGAAUACCGUUUGUUAUAUUUGAGACCCAAAAAGAGUUUUUUUAAUUUAUGCUAAAAAGUGGAGCAAUUUACGCGAUUCUUAAAGUGUCAUUCUUUAAGAAAUCCCCAUUUUUUUUAUGUUAUUAUAUUUGUACCCAAUUUAUUCAUAUUUUUCAACAUGAUAUAGUCCCUAUUUUGGAUGUUGAAAGUGAAGUUUAACAUCUGUAAUAGAGCACUUAGACCUCUCCCAGGUUUAUAAUGCUUACAGACACUUUGGAUUUUGAAAUUUGAAAGUUUUUUAAAUGUUGGAUUGGGAAAAUCCGAAGUUCUAAACUACAUCCUGCAAGCCCAAUAUCAAGUUUAUAGCAUUUCAGAUUUUCAAAAUCCGAAAUGUUCUUUGCAUCCAGCAAGCUUGUUGAAGGCUAAAGAGAACUUUAGAUUUUGAAAAUCUAAAGUGGGGAGGGGGAUGUAAAAAUGGGUAUGAGCAAAGUUUUCAAGAUAAUUUUUUAACAAUAAUAAUCUAAAAGAGUAUUUUUUAUAAAAUUUCUUUAAAAACUACUAACAAGGAGCAUUUUCAUGGGCCGACUGCAUUUUCUGACCCAACCCCAAGUUUUAAAGGGCCAGGCAUCGGCCUACUACCAGCCCUGCAAUGUGAAUGACAAAGAGGGAUUGAUAGGGUGGUAGGGACCACUUUUGGGGGCUUAAAGGUCGUUCGGGGCUUGGGUAGAAGGUAUUUCCUAAGCUUAUAAGGCUAGAAAUGAAUUGGUUCCGGUACAUGUGAACCCUUAACUAAGCUAGACGUGAUUAGGUCUAGAAAAAAACCCUGAAAUUGAGUUGGACCCAAAUCAAUUAAACCUAGACCCUACCCAAAGGGUUGGGACCAGGUCUAAAUAAAAAGAUCAGGCUUUAUUUACUGAACAUAUAUGUUACAUUUUAUGUAUAAUGUAUAGAUUGGGUUGGGUUGACCAUUGACCCGACCCGAUAGCAUCCAAGUCAAGGUGAGGAUUUGUUACAAGACUCACUUAUUUUAGGACGUAAAAUUAUUUUUCCUUUGUAUUCAUACGGUCGGGAUGUUCAAUUAGAAAGUUUAUCAACUUUACGAACUUUUCCCUCUUUGAAAACGCUAAUUUUCUACUGUAGGAGACCCAUGCCGCAUUUACAUAUUUCGAAGGGGCAACUCAUAACAUGAAGCCCAAUUUUUGUUUCAUAAGAUGGGCGUAAAAUAGAUAUAUAUCGAGAAAAAAAGGGUAGUUAAGUAAAACCUCUACCAACGUAACGCCUUCCUUGCCCGCGGAAGCAGAUAAGCUUCCCGCCACUUCUGCGCUUCACUCUCCCCUCAUCCAUGGCCGAAGCUUCUGUAACCUUCUUCUCGUCCUCGUUCUCCAUCCCUAACCCUAACCCCAAGAAAACCCUAAAUUUCCCUUCAAUUCUCCCAGUUCUUUCGAUCUCUACAUCUUUGAAGCAUCCACAAGCUUCUAGAAGCUUUUUCACGCCCUCCCUCCCCUCCUUCCCGGCUUCAAACCCUAAUACUAGAAGAAGCAGAGAAAAUCAAUGCAAAUUUAGGGUCGUUUCGGUCUCUUCUCCUUCGAGGAGCGGCAGCUGUGGAAUUGAGAGAGAAGAAGUCGGGGCAGUUCGUUGGGGCUGUGACAUCGAUUCCUCGGAGAAUGCUUCGUAUUUGAAGAGAUGGCUUUCGGAGAAUGGGCUUCCUCCUCAGAAGAUGGCGAUUGAGAGGGUUGAGGUUGGGGAGAGAGGGCUGGUAGCCUUGAAGAAUAUAAGAAAGGGAGAGAAGCUCCUUUUUGUUCCUCCCUCUCUUGUUAUCGAUGCCAAUUCGGUAUGCUCUGAUUCUCAAAAGAUUGGCAAUGGUUUUUGCUUCUAUCUCUCUCUGGGUUCUUGCAUUUGUUAUUGACUCCAGCUCAGGGGAGUUAAUGCUUAAAUUCUUGGAAAUGAAGUGCAACUCUGUGCGUGUGCAUGUGUGCGGUGUGUUUUUACUUGCUCACAAUGCCAAUCAGUCCGUCUAAUUGUCAAAUUCUUGGAAAUGGACUCUCUCUGUGUAUAUGUUCGGAAUGUGUGAAAAAUAAUGGUUUUGUCUGCAUUUCUGAGUUAACUGACUUAAAUUGAAACCAGAAGUCAAUUAGAUGAUCGAAGGAACUUUUCAUUUUUUUUAAAGAUGGAAGAAGAGGUAAUUGAAAUUGAAGAGGUUUCAGUGCAAAGCUUAAAAAGGAUAAGUAUUUUAAAUAAACUUUGAAGUGAUAUCAUAGAUUAUAUUAGCAAUUUAUAAUACAAAUCUGCAACAAUCAAAUUUAGCUGAUGGCAUGGACUUAAUGAAAUUUGGACAAGAACUUGGAAAGUGAAGACCUUGGGAAAUCAUUUGCUAUAAAUAAAUCAUUGGCAUCAGUAAUGCAAAAAGAGUUCAUUAAUUUAUGACUUAGAAGUACUAUAAUUUAGCUUCGUAGCUUACAAAGUAUAUGGCAUUGUUCUUUAUCAUUCUGAGAGGAUAAAGAUAUUCUUGGCAUGUCACAGAAUCAAAUACGUUUCAUUUCAAAUGUCGUAGUGAACAAUAUUUAUUGCUUUGAGAAAUGGUGGUAUCAUUGGGAGUAGCACAAGUUUGGAUAAUCUUUCUGUUCAUAGUUUAAGCGAGAGAAGCCUUUUCUUUUUCUUUUGAUGAGCUAUCGAAAGAAGCAUUUUGUUGUAGAAAAUGUUCCCUUAGCAACUCACUGCCUUUAUUAAUGAAAGGAUACAUGAAAGUAAAUUUUUUCCUGCAUAGGAUAGAAAUGGGGAUCUCAAGAUGGAUGUGAAUCUUUAUUUACUUCGGUAUAUAAGGGACUGGUUCUCUACUUCAUAUCAGUAAAGUGUUGGGCCCAUCAUCUGUUCUUAUCUGUGGAUAAUGGCAAUGAGCAGCUGUUCCCACUUAUAACAUGUAGCUUAAACAGGGGAAAAAAACUCAUUUCCCACCGCCAGUGUAUAAGAAUGGACAUUAGAUGAUGGAUAAGUAUGAACAUUGGAUGAGUACUUAACUCUAGGUUCGUAUGAAGUAUAGAACAUUUUAUGAUUAUCUGAAUCAACCAUCGGAUUUGUGAUAACAAAGUAGCCAUUGUCUCACACAUUUGUGUGUGCAUUUUUGUGUGUGUGUGUGUGUGUGUGAGAGAGAGAGAGAGAGAGAGAGAGAGAGAGAGAGAGAGAGUAGUAGUAGUAGUAGUAACUACUACUUCCGUUAGUACUACGUUCGUUCCGUUUACGUACGAACACUAGUACGACUAACGUUACGUAGUUACGUUACUUUUNNNNNNNNNNNNNNNNNNNNNNNNNNNNNNNNNNNNNNNNNNNNNNNNNNNNNGAGUGUAGUGAGAGUGUGAGUGUGUGAGAGUGAGUGAGGAGAGAGUGAGAGAGNNNNNNAGAGAGAGAGAAGNGAGGAGAGAGAGAGAGAGAGAUUGAUGAUGAAUCAUCCUUGUACAUCUCUUCGUGAACACAUGCAUAUGUAGCUUUAACUUCGAUGUUCUCCCUAUAUUUCUUACUGUUCUGAAGCUUUGGUCUUAUAAAUAUAAAAAUAGCCCAAUUUUGGUGUUGUUCCCUAAGAAAUUGAAUAUGUGAAAAAAGCAGCUGUCUAGCUGCCCUCUUUUUAAUAUUCUAUGUUGUAUACUAUACUUGUUUGUACUUCAUUCACACUUGUUCACAUUUGAGGCUAUUAAUUAGUAUUACAACCUUGAAUUCUAGGAAUGGAGCUGCCCGGAAGUAGGAAAUGUAUUAAAGAGAAACUCGGUUCCAGACUGGCCACUUCUUGCUACUUACCUGAUCAGUGAAGCUAGUCUCAUGGAAUCUUCAAGAUGGAAUGAAUAUAUUUCAGCAUUGCCUCGACAACCAUACUCACUUUUGCACUGGUAUAUGCUUGAGAGUCACAUUGUAGUGCUAUUCAAUAUGGAACAGUAUAUACACAUCAUUUCUAUGCUAGACGAUGCAUAGGCAGGCCAUUCCACCAUACGUUCAAACAAACUUUUAUGCAUACUGAUAUUCAGGGUACAAUGGUUUAUCUCUGCCUUCCAUCUUGAGAGUGAAUGGUGGAUUGCCUGCGUUUGUAUUCUAUACCAUAUACAUUAUGUGGUGUACUUUUCUUGUUCAUAUUGAGUUAUUUCUAUACUGCUCAUUUUUGUAUUUAGCUUUUUCUGGUUUUUUUCCUGAUUUUUCUUGUUUUGGAUAAGCCAAAUGCUAUUAUAGAAAAUUAUAUUUUUCAUAGGCAUAAUUGGCAUGAAAAGCCCUUUCUAAAAUAUUUGUUAUUUUUAUAUUUUGUUUGCUCCUAUUCCUUCUCCAAUAUAGAUUGUGUUUUUUACCAUGUUUGGAUAGCACAUAACAGAUAUUUUUAAAGGAGAGAUGGGUAGGAUUUGUGGCAACAUUUCACUUGANNNNNNNNNNNNNNNNNNNNNNNNNNNNNNNNNNNNNNNNNNNNNNNNNNNNNNNNNNNNNNNNNNNNNNNNNNNNNNNNNNNNNNNNNNNNNNNNNNNNNNNNNNNNNNNNNNNNNNNNNNNNNNNNNNNNNNNNNNNNNNNNNNNNNNNNNNNNNNNNNNNNNNNNNNNNNNNNNNNNNNNNNNNNNNNNNNNNNNNNNNNNNNNNNNNNNNNNNNNNNNNNNNNNNNNNNNNNNNNNNNNNNNNNNNNNNNNNNNNNNNNNNNNNNNNNNNNNNNNNNNNNNNNNNNNNNNNNNNNNNNNNNNNNNNNNNNNNNNNNNNNNNNNNNNNNNNNNNNNNNNNNNNNNNNNNNNNNNNNNNNNNNNNNNNNNNNNNNNNNNNNNNNNNNNNNNNNNNNNNNNNNNNNNNNNNNNNNNNNNNNNNNNNNNNNNNNNNNNNNNNNNNNNNNNNNNNNNNNNNNNNNNNNNNNNNNNNNNNNNNNNNNNNNAUUAAUAUAUAAGAAAUAGAUAAGAACUGUGAAGGGGCUCAUGGUAGGGUCCAUACUGAACCCAUUUUGACCCGCCAUCCACAUCUUAUAUGUUUAAGAACUGGAAGUUAUAUUAUAUUAGAAAACAUAAUUUUGUUCAUAAAUAAUAAUCAUACAGAUCCGUCUAGUCGUAUCAACUAUUUAGACCAAAGUACUAGAGACCUUCGACACUUGUAGCAUGUAACACUGGUUUUUAUGCCACUCACUUGAUCUUUCAGGUGUUUCAUGUAAUCUAUUAGUGGUUUCCAUUUUCUUUUUGUUAGUUUUGCAAAGAGAUCUAGUCUCAGAUGUUAUUCUCUACAGCAAUUUAUUAUAAUUUCAGGACAAGAUCUGAAUUAGACAUGUACUUGGUAGCUUCAGAGAUUCGGGAGCGGGCCAUUGAGCGAAUCACAGAUGUCACUGGAACGUAUGCAUUUCCACUCUCAAUGACUUGAGUUUUCUCUUUCUGUCUUCCAUUCUGAACAUGGUUUCAGAAAUCUAUACUUUGACAAUUUUUUGAAAUAGCAGGAUGUGAAAAUCUCAUCAUAUAAUUGUUAUUUCUUAUUAGAUGCUUUAAUAGUUGUUAUCUGUAGUUGCCGUGACUUUAAUGUUACUAGUAAAUGUAUACACCUCAUGGCUUGAAGUUGUUUUAGCUGAAAUGCCGAUACAUACAUAUAAAGGGAGAAGGGCACAGAGGAAGGGUGAGAGAAUUCUGACUAAAUAAUUUCCUGUGUCUGUGUGCAGAUAUAAUGAUCUAAACCUCAGGAUAUUCUCCAAGCAACGUGAUUUAUUUCCUGAGGAGGUAUUUUCAUUCAUGGUUUGGAAAGCUAAGUCAGUUUUGAUACUAAACACUGAGAUAAUCAAAGACAGUACCAAAUGGUCAAAUACCACAUAAAUGUCAAUAUUUUAGUGAUAUAUAUUGAAAUUUUCAAAGAAAAAGAUGAAGUCAUAUGUUGGUAGAUUGGGGAGCAUCAUGUCUUGAGAGGGAUCAUCAUCCUUGGUAGGAGAUUAAGGCAAGUAAGGGAGCUAAAGAAUUCAUAGCCUGGUGUGAACAACACUUAAUUUGGAUUAUUGGUUUAUCGAUCCUUUUCUAAUUCGUUUGAUUUGGUUUCAGGUAUAUAACAUGGACACAUUUAGAUGGUCGUUUGGCAUUCUUUUUUCACGUUUGGUAAGUAAAUGUGUAUGUUAGUUUUUCAAGUAAUUGCCAUAAGUGGUCCAGCUAGGCACAGCUGAUUUACAGAUUUGUCAUUGAGAAUUUUUCCAAGAUAAUAGAAGCAUAAGUAUAAUUGAUUUGUUAUUCACUAUAUCUUGGUAGAAACAUACGUAUAAUUGAUUUAUUAUUCACUAUAUCUUGGUAUAACAGGUGAAGUUACCAUCAAUGGAUGGAAGGGUUACUUUAGUUCCUUGGGCAGACAUGCUUAAUCAUAGCUCUGAGGUUUUCCCAUUCUUUAGAUUCUUCAAUUAUAUAUUCUGUAUAAUUUUUUCGAGAUUUUAUUUUGUGCUACAUUUAUAUCAAUUCAUUUAUCACUAGCCAUAUGCCAAUGUUCAGGUGGAGACUUUUUUGGACUAUGAUAAAUCAUCACAAGGCAUUGUAUUUACUACUGAUCGUUCCUACCAGCCAGGAGAGCAGGUGAAUGAGUAUUUUUGCCUUGACUCCUCUUUGCAAGUACUUUUGUUAUUUUGAAUGUACAACUUAGGGAGGGCACCAUAUGAUCUAGAGACUAGAUAUCAACUUGGAUUGAAUUCUGGGAUAAAAACAGUGUCGAUUACGCUUGUUUUACUGUGAAAGCUGGAGCUUUGUGAAUCUUAUAUCAGCUUCCUGUGAAGAUUAGCAGCAUUUCAUAACCUUGUAAUCAGCUCAGAAAAUUGAUUUAUUUCUUUCGAUGAUUUAAUGUGGAGACAAGCAUCAUGAGCUGGUUGAAUGCUAGGAUACGUGAGUCUCACGUGAUUGGUAAAUGUCAUAGUUGGAGGUUGCAAACUGAGUGAGUGUGCCAAGUUGACUCAUUGAUCGUUGUACUAUUCUUCUUGGUUAGAUGAAGUAUAGUCUUAUAUCAUUCGUUUUUUCGUGAGAUGUUUAGUUCAUCUUUCACGUGUAGGACAUGCACUUUCUUUCUUUACCUAUGCCAAAAGCAAACCUUUCUUUUGUGUAAUGCUUGCUUGCUUAGGUAACGUUUCUUUACAAUCUGAAUAGUGUCUGUUUUUUCCCUUGUUUUUUAUUCCAAGAACAACCACUUGACCUCUUGGAGCUUUUUAUAUGGAGCAAAAUGCUUUGAUGAAUUUCUUAUUGUUUAGAUUGGUUCAUAUGCUCAAACUACAACGACAUUUAGGACUGUGGUUCUUAUUUUGGAGACCAUGCUUGUAUUUUAGGUCUUCAUCUCCUAUGGCAAGAAAUCAAAUGGAGAGCUUCUCCUUUCAUAUGGGUUUGUUUCCAGAGAAGGCACCAACCCAAAUGAUUCAGUGGAUGUAGCCAUGUCAAUUAACAAAUCUGACCCCUGUUACGUGGAGAAGGUUGAAGCUUUGAUGAAGCAUGGCUUAUCAACGUGAGGAUUUCAUCAUAAACUUUUGUAAAACUUGCUUGGGAAUAGUGUUUCCAAAUGUGCAUGCACAUUUGUAUGUUCCAUUAUUUCAUAUGCUUAUAUAUUUAAGUAAUAAUUUGUUUGUUAUUCCAUCUUGCAUGGGGCUAACGUAUUUGUUCUUGGAAGAUUAAUUAUUAGUAUUCUUAAACAAAGAGAAAGGUAAACCACUUGUUGCUUCGUUGCAUUUCAAUGUUGUAAACUAUGGGCCUUAAAAACUUUUAAAAAGGUAAAUGUUCUGGACCCAAAAAGAAGAAAAAACUUGUGCUUUGGGGGUACACUAUCCAAUGGCAAUGAUGGAAGAAACCAUUUUCAUUUGGGAUCAUAACUGUGCAAUGAAAAUGAUGGAUGAUGAAGGAUAGAGAAUGGGAUCCACCGGACCAGGAUAUGAUCCCAAUAGCGGGUGCCGCUCUCUCUCACCAUCCAUCAUUUCCCUGGAUGGUGAUGACCAAGUGACUUGGUUUUUGGAAUCCUCUCCAACUUCCCCAAACUACUAGAAACAAUAAUAUUUUGAUGGUUUUGUUUUUUGUGAUCAAUCAUGAUACAUUUUAUUUGCUUCCAUGAAAAAGUUAUUUCCUUGGUACAUGCAGCAUGGUAACUAUGCAAUGUAUAAAACAAGAUGAGCAAUAGUAUGACAAGGUUAUAGUACUGGAUAGGCUACUGGUCUUUCUAUCUGUUUGUGAAAAUACUCAAUUUGAGAUUUAUCCUUCUAUUUAAUUUGAGAUUUAAAAUUGAUUGGACAGGCCUCAACGAUUUCCUUUGCAGAUCACCGGUUGGCCUUUGGAGCUUAUGGCAUAUGCUUACCUUGUUGUGAGCCCUCCAAAUAUGAGCCAGCAAUAUGAGGAGGUUAACAUUUGACUAAGAAUAUCAAACUCUUGGUACUUCCUUUUUGAGUAGGAUAAAUAUACUGUAAUCUAGUUGCUACUGGGAUAGUUGUGGAAUGAAUAUCAAUCUGCCAUUUCCUUUUUCACACUAUCUUCUGAUUUCAUCCCCUUUCUGUCGUCUUAGAAUUCAUUUGUGAAUUUGUGAAAUGGAUAAUGUUCAUGUGAUUUUUUUUUUAGCCUUCUUUAUUCCCCAUUCAAUUAAGACGUAUUCUACUUUCACAAAAUUUCUCAUAUCACCUGUGGUUCUGUUUUUUACUCCAAAACCAUUUUGGCUUGAUAUGUGUCUCCCAUCAUCAGUAUUUCAACCUUUCUCUGAAUUGUUUUCUUCAGUCGCUCAUGAAACCUGUGCGCCUUCUCUUCCAUUCCAUUUUUGUAUUUUCAUUAAUCUCUGUUAUGAUUCGGUGCAAAUUACGUAACUGCUGUCCAGAUGGCUGCUGUGGCUUCAAGUAAAGGAACGUCAAAGAAGAACCUCAAGUACCCGGAACUUGAGGAGCAAGCCCUCCAGUUCAUCUUGGAUUGUUGUGAAUCCAGCAUAUCAAAGUACACCAAAUUCUUGGAUGUAAGGAACUUUUUCAUCAUUCCAGAAAUCAGACCCUUUUUGAGCCAGUUCACAUGUAUUUUAUUUAGGAAACCUGAUUGGUCUUGAGUGGAAAAACUAGUUUGCGAAACUGUGGUUCUAUUUCAUUCUUUCUGCUAGGGUGGCUUUGCUCUUUAACAUGUUACAAAACUGAAGUUAAAAAUGUAAGGGCAUGUAUGGAGGAAGGUUGUAAGCUUUUCCAAGGCCCUUAUAAUAUGUCAAAUGUAAGGCAUGGAGUUGGAGAGAGGGUUGUAAGUGUUUCCAAGGCUCUUAUAAUACAUCCAAUGAAAUACAUAGAGUUGGAUAGAGAGAGAGAGAGAGAGGCUUUUGAUCAUCAUCAUCGUCAUCGAAGCCUUAUCUGAACUAUUUGGGGUCGGCUACACGAAUCAUGUCCUGGCAUUCCGCUCUAUUAUGGGCCAUGCCCUCAGAUAGACUUACAACGCUUCUCUUACAAGGAAUGCCCUAACAUGAGCAUGUAAUGUUGGAUAAGGAUUCAUGAUAGGGAUGUGGAAAAAAUUUUCUGCUGUUUGCUAACCUAACACAACCCUCCUCCUUUCUCAUUGGGGCUUCGGAUUGGCAGUGGUGGAGUUAGAGAGAGGCUUCUGAUCUUAGAAGAAAAUAAUGGGAGAGAAGUAUGAAUGAAUUUCUAAACUAAAACUGUAAGAGAAAAUAAGCUGGAUAGAAGCAUCUUCAAGGCUUCUACCCCAGCCAUGGUACAAGUAUCAAAUUAGCCGAAAUCAAGUGAGUAGAAGUUCUAAGAAAAGCUUCUGUGUGUGUGUGUGUGUGGGUGGGUGUGGGUGUGUGUAUAAGCUGUCAUCGCUUUGUGUGUGUGUGUGUAUAAGCUGUCAUUGUUUUGACACUUCCAUUUGCAUUUGGAUUGAAGUUCUUAUGUGUUAAGAUCUUAUGUUGCAGGGUAUUGGGAGCAACAUUGACAAUUCAAUUGAGAUUUCUCGAAAGCAAGCCAACCGAAAAUUGCUUCUCCAACAACUAGCAGUUGACCUUUGCAGCCGUGAGCGGAGGAUCUUGUUUCGUGCCCAAUAUGUAUACUUUCUUUCCUAUUGAAUUCUUUCUUGUGUUUUGAACGGUUCCUUAUUUUCAUUUUCAGUUUUUGUUUGUUUCUGAAAUAUGCUUUUAUAAUAAUGGGCAAUUUCUCUUGAAAAAACACUUAGUUUUGUGCUCUCUCUCUCUCUCUCACACACACACACACCUAACAGUUUGUUGCUGGUUCAGAUAUUGCGGAGGAGAUUGAGAGACAUGAGGACUGGAGAGUUGAGAGCUCUUACCAUACUGAAUGGUUUUCGGAAACUCUUCAAGUAAACAAUGCUCUUCUAAUUUGUUUGAGUUUGAGGUGAGGCUCUAUUCAUUUGCUACAACUCGUUUUGUUUUUGUUCUCAAAAUUCAUUGAAGAUUCCUUUGAUUUAUUUGGGGGAAGUUAUCAUUGUGGGAGAGCAUAGCCCGAUUAAUGUGAUUAUAUACAGUUACAUUCACAAGUGUGUAUACUGGUCAUCAUUGGAUAUAUGGUGAUAAAGAGAGAAGGACCAAGCACCUUGGUUGUCAUAUUCUGGUAGGUCCUGGUCUCUCUCCUUCAUUGUCUAUCCACUGAUUGGAUGGUGAUGACACUCUCGGAACCAAAAUUUUGUAUAUUCAUACGGAUCAUAGUAUGCUUUCCUAUAAUGAUGCGCUGGUUUUAAACAUUCAUAUAAAACUAUUUAUAAGAUGUAGAAUCUAUGGCUUCUCUUGAUCCCAAAAAAAGUUUUAGAAUUACUAGUUCUAAGAGCUGAUUUCCAAGUAACCAGAAUAGAGAGAGAGAGAUGUGAUGUUGAAUUGAUGUGCAGAGGUAGAGAGAAAGAAGGGAAGUCGCUUUGUAAUAUGCCAAGGACCUGGACAUGGCAGACGGGCACCAUUGCAAUGAAGAACAUAUGAUUCACUGAGCUCUCAUCAAGAAUGUAUGGUAUUAAGUUACAAAUAUAAAAAAUGUUCGCUCUGAAAAUGUAUGCUUGAGCUAUUUGCCCCGGGGAAAAGCUUGCACAUGGUGUAGUAUUGUACUGUAGUAUUUAUUUUCCAAUUUUGAAAGUCGCUGAUUCUUUUUGCGUAUGGUUUUUGCUCGGCAAGUAUGGCUGAGGGACGUAAUGGUCAUUUUACUCUCUCUCUCUCUCAAUAGUUAUGCGGUGUUCCCAGUCUUGACAAAGGAAAAAACUUUAAAAAUGUAGAAUUAAAGAUGCACCUUCAAAUCCACGAGAGAAGGUUGUUUUAAUGUUGAAAAACCCUCUAAUUGAUCAGGUCAUCUCGACAUCAAAAUGUAUGAAUAUAGAAAAAAAAAAAAAAAAGAAUUUUGAGUCUCAAAUAUAGUGCAUCAUACAACACAUUAUCUAGGCUGUUCAUUUUCAUUUCAUAUGUUUAUAUCUACUUGAUUUUAACUAUUGUUUCAAAUUUCAAAAUUAGAGAUGAAAAUAGAUUUUCACAUAAUCCUAUAAAUUUUUUACACCAAAAAUAUAUGUCAUGAUAAAAUUUGGAGGUGUCCUUAAUUAAUUAGAUUGUUUAAGGUUGGAACCAUAUACAAACUGCACCCUUUGGUAAAUGUUUACAGUGUUUACAAAUGGAUAAAAACCAAUUUUAAAAUUCUUAUUCCUGCUCUGGAAUUGACCAUUUAGAUUAGGAAUUGGCAAUCUGGUUUCUAGUCAGAAGCCAGAAUCAGUCCGUUGUGAUAGAUUCACUUGGCCAUGUCAAGAACUUUGCGGGUUUGUUAGGAACGUAAGGUGGAUCGUACAAAUCACCGGUUUCCGUGCAUUUUAUUUUUUAUUUUUUAAAAUGUUUAAUUUAAUUUUAUUCAAAUAAUAAUAAUAAUAAUAUUUAUCAAAUAAUAAUAAUAAUAAUAAUAAUGCUUAUUAUUAUUAUUAUUAGAUCACUGGAGAAUUAUUGGUCCCAUCCAUUCUUAGUGAGUGAUCGAUGUUGGCCCGACGGGUAACUGAUCCUGGAUUUUAAAAAGUGAUUUUUCUUUCUUUUGAUCGCGUUCUCUCUCAAUGCAAUUCUAUCGCUUCCAUGUACGUGUGUAAAUGUUUGCAAUGAAUACGAAUUCUCUCUCUCUAAAAAUAUGUAAUGGACAAUAAUCUCUCUUUCUCCAAAACUUCUUGUAACUGAUCCAGGAUUUAAAAAAGUGAUUUUUUUUGUCUUGAUAGUUCUCUCUCUCGAUGCCAUUCUUUCGCUUCCAUGUAUCUGUGUAAAUGUUUGCAAUAGAUAAGAAUGCUCUCUGUCUCUCUAAGUAUAUCUAAUGGAUAAGAAUGCUCUCUCUCUCUCUCUAAAUAUAUGUUGUGGAUAAGAAUGCUCUCUCUCUCUAAAUAUAAGUUGUGGAUAAGAACGCUCUCUCUCUCUCUCUCUUAAUAUAUGUAAUGGACAAUAAUAUCUCUUUUCUCCAAAACUUCUUCCUCUCAUGGUGUCCCCAUGUACUGUAUGUGAUUAUAGUUACUAGUAUGGGUUGACUUCUAUAAACGUCUUUUUCUCUGCACUUAAGAUGACCAAAGAGUAGGUUUAUCCUGUCAUUUGAGUUGAAAUGCCAAAAUUCUUUUGAAAUAUCAAAAAAAGAAGUAAAGUUGUGCAUCAUACCUUACGAAACCGUUCUACUUUUCAUGUCGGAAAAUCCAUAAAUCAAUCAUCUCGACCUUUAAUGUUAUAGAUGUGAGAAAAGAAAAAAAUUUCAAAUCUUAAAAAUAGUGUAUUUUGAAACAUUUUCUUUAGACUGCCUAUUUUAAGUGUUUAUGUACCCCUACCAGAUUUAGACCAAAUUUUAAGUUCCAAAUUUUAUAAUUAAUGAUGAAAAUAAAUAUGGGGACUUUUAGUCUCACUGACGGUAUGAUUUUUAAUAGAGCAAAAUGACAUACUAGAAUUCGUGCACCCAAUCCCAAUUAAUUGGAAAUAUGAAUUUAGGAUGAUAAUAAAUAUGAAAAUAUAUUUUAGACCCAUUGUAGCAAUUUCCUUUCCCCAAACUACUUGAAGCAUACAGGCCCAUUAAAUUAAUGAGCCUCAAAUUAAGGCCCGGCCAAACCCGAUGGGCAUCAUGAACAGCUGACCCACGGGCCCGCCCCAUUGUUCUUCUGCUUAAGAACAUGAGCCGGAAAUCUGCGAAGAAGAUGACCCGCGUUAAUCCAUAAGGGUAAUUUUGUCAUUUUACUUCACUCAAUUAGAAAUUUGUUUUUCCCAUUUUAUUCAAAUUUUCAUUUUCCCGUUUGUCUUGCGACUCGUGGAUUCUGCUCCUUUUGCUCCUUACAUGGAAAGAUUUAUUUUUUGGGGCAAAAUAUUUGCAAUUUUAGGAAACGUAUUUGUAAGGGGAAUCUUCUAAUGCAAUUUAAGACCAAAAACCCUAACGCUUUAGGGCAAAUCAGCGGAAGCUCGAGUGUACAAUGGAGGGGAUCUCUGCAACAACCGGCCCUAAUUCUUAUUUCUUGAGGCCUAUUUCCCUUAAAAAUAACACAGCAGUUAAGAUCAGCUACAGAGUUUUAAUGGCGGACUUUUAUAAGAAACCCUCUCUUCUCAGCGUACGAGCACAGCAGGUAAUGCUUUCUAUGAUAAUUGAAAGUCUUAUUUUUUGUUUUUUUGGAAAUUUGGUUUUUUUUCUUGCUCUUUUUUUGUUUGCAGGAGCUCUGGUAUCGUAGCGGAUAUGACUGUAUGAUUGGUUGAAUUUUGUAUUUCUUUCAUUCCUUUUGAAAUUGAAUUUACUUUCAUUGUAACCAGUUUUUAGGGCUUAGUUGGUUUCUGGUAAUCAAAUUUUCAUGUUUCUUCUUUCUUUCCUCAAUUAGUUCAUUUUUCAGGGGCAUUUUCAAAUGUGAAACCCUUGGAUUGGUAUUCUGGAGCCAUUUGAGUUUUUUGUGUUUACAGGUGUUUAUUUCUAUUGCUUGCGUUGAGAGGCCUGCACUGGGAUAGUUUUUGUAUGUUAUUAAGGACAGAACUCUGUAUGAUCGCUCGUUCUUAUGCAUAAAUUUAAACUUUAAACAUAUAAUGAUUUUCCUUAUCAAGAAAAGACAUUUGUAUGUUCUUUGAUUUUAACUAAUUUGCUUAGGUUUAAAGUGGCAAUUAUCCCUUGGAUUUUAUCCCUUGGAUUUUAUGUCAUAGGAUUUUGUUCAGAAAGCAAUUUUUUUCCUGAAUGUUGCAAGAUACUUCCCUUCUUUUUUAUUUUUUUGGAUAGUUUCUUUCGAAUAUGAAAGUAUGCUUGAAUGCAAACUUGAUCUAGAAUUACAUGCGGAAAACCAGUUUUUGUCAUUCUUAUAAAGUUUUUGAGCUUUUUCCUGAGAUUUCCUGAGAAUUUUCUAUGGAAACCCAAAUGUUAAAUGUACUUAUAAAAUUUUCCUUUCUGGGAAUUUACCAAAAUGUGGGUUGUUCACAUUGUUUAAACCUUCAGGAAAAGAUGUCACAAAUCACAAUCACUAUUGAACGUCAGAUUUUAAAUCGGGUGGUUGUCAAUGUGUCAUUGACUAGACUCAGAUUUUGGAAAAAAAAAUAAUUCUCGAACUUUGUGACGCACCUUAUGCUAUCCAAUUUGACAUUUAAUGGUUAGGAGUGAUUAUGACCUCCUUGUAAGUAUGGUAAGUGGUCUCAUUAUAUACAAUCCCUAAACUUUAAACAAUCUCAAUUACUUGUUGGCAUAUAAGAGAACAUGCUUUUGACUGUGUGUAUCAUUUAUCCUUGUGAUCACAGUCCAGUUCUGGUGAUGCGUCAACCACUAUUGCCCCUGCGAAUGUUACUGGAGAAACACUUUCUGAAUCUGAGGAGGUUGAAGAUGGGGCCAUGCAAGACGAUUUGUAUGCAAGCCAAGGCAUCAGAAUAAGAAGAAGACCACCAACUGGCCCCCCAUUGCAUUAUGUGGGUCCAUUUGAAUUUCGCUUGCAAAAUGAGGGCAACACUCCUCGCAACAUUCUUGAGGAGAUUGUUUGGAAUAAGGAUGUGGAAGUUUCACAGGUGUCUUUUAAUCCCAUUGCUUUGUUAUGGUUUGAUUAUUUAUUCGCUAAGUUGCAAUGAAAGGUCAGUACACUGUAAUACAAGGGAGAGCCAUAGCCCAAUAGGUUCAGCACCAUCCAAUGAAAUGGUGGAUGGUAAUGGAGAGACUGGGUCCUUCAAUUGGGGUCAUUUCGUGUUCUAAUUGGUCCCACAGUCCCAACGUUUCUAUCGAUCACUGUCUAUAAUCUCAUCUGACUGUGAUGACCCAAUUGACUAUGAUGUCAGUCUAAGAAAUCUCGGGCCUACUCAGACUCUCCCUUUUCACUUGGACUCAGCAGGCUACUGAGUCCGGAACACCCCUCAACUCAGUUCACUAAAAAUAUACCUCUGAUUAAUUAUCAUUAAUGUAUUAUUGGUUCAAUCUUUGACUAAAUCACUUGUAAAUGAUUAAUAAUUAAUUCUGUAUAUACUGUUAUGUUUUUAUAUUUUUAAUUUUUUUCUUUUUUUUUCUCAUUUUUCCUGUGAAUUUUAUGAGAACCUGAUCCUUAUCCAAGUUUCUGUUUUUUGAAAACCUUAUUUUAUUUUAUAUAUAUGUUGUUUAUUAUUAUUUUUGCUUUUUCCUGACAUUUACCAAUUCCUUAGGAUUUUGUUUGCCCUUUUCUUUAAAUUCCUUUUACUCUUUAGGCGACUCAGUACCGUCUCGAGCGAGUCAAGUUGGACUUGACCUAGUCACUCGGACCGUCAAGGGCUCGAAUUCCAUGACCGAGCUAUGGUUUCUUCAUUGAUGGGUAUCCCUAUCAGGUUAUAGUAUUUACUUUUUUGGCAAUAAAUGGAUUUGUGACAAUCAUCCUUGUGACUUUGCUUGGUUAUAUAAAUAUAUUGAAUUAAAUCCAUCUGCAAGAUUGAAGGCAGCUGUUGAUUCUGCACAGUAUCAUCUGCUCAUUUUUUAAUGAUUUGAUUUGUAUUGCUAGAUCGGAACAGAUGGCUCUUUGACAAUUAUUAUUGUGACUUUGUUCAGUUAUAUUCUGUUGAAAGAUAAACAACCUGUUGUAAUAUUUGGGGUUCAUAGAUAGCACUUCAAAACGUUCAAAUUUUGAACCACUAAGUUGCAAUGAAAGUGACAAUCAUUAUGGCUUUGCUUGGUUAUAUGCAGAUGAAAGAGAAAAGGCCCCUUGCGAAAUUGAAGGGAGCUCUUGACAAUGCACCACCUGUUAGAGAUUUCAUUGGUGCUCUGAGGACCUCCCAUCUUCGAACUAGGCUGCCGGCUUUGAUAGCUGAAGUGAAGAAGGCAUCUCCAAGUAGAGGAGUCUUGAGGGAGGAUUUCAAUCCGGUAACUUGCAAAUCCAAUUGAUAAUUUUCUUUGGUGGCUUAGUUUCCUUUAGAGGGAUGGACACCUAAACUUGGAUAAAGUACAACUUAGGACCACUUAACUAAGAUGCACAUCAUCAAAGUAGUGUCUAUUUUGUUUUUAACUGAACAUACUGAUCAUUUUGACAAGAUAGGAGCACUAGUGGUCUUUCAUGUGUUCCUUGAUUGCAAUUUGUUGUUAUUAGGAUUUAGAAUCUUGUUGAAAGCAAAAACUUAUGUCGUGGCUAGUGGUUGAGUUAUACUAUGAAAUUGUGGGAGAGAGUGAUUGAGCAAUGAUUACAACAUAAAACAAGUAUAUCAGAAAAUCAGUUCGAUUUUGUGCCGGGGAAGUUAACCAUUGAGGCUAUUUCCCUACUUAGGUAAUUAAUUGAGAGGUUUAAGGAGAAGAAAAAAGACCUCGAUAUGGUCUUUUAUUAAUUUACAGAAAGUAUAUGAUACGGUACCUAGAGAUUUAUGGUUGACGUUGGAAAGGAAGGGAGUAUCCAAAGGAUAUAUUGACAUGGUGAGAGAUAUGUACGAGGGAGUGCUAACUAGUGUGGGGGCAACAAGUAAGCCCACACCAGGAGUUAGCAUUGAGCACAUAUCUCUUUGCUUUAGUUAUAGACGAGUUAACUAAGCAUCUAUAGGAUGAGGUAUUGUGGUGUAUGUUAUUUAUACAUGACGUAGCGUUGUUUGAAGAGUUUAGAGACGACAUCAAUGCAGAGUUUGGAACUUUGGAGGGAUGCUCUAGAAUCUAAAGGUUUUAAAAUUAGUUGGACUAAGACAUAAUAUAUGGAAUGCAAGUUUAGUAAUAAUUGGAUUAGAAACAAGGAAUUAGUUAAUAUUGAUGGACAAGAAGGUCCUGAAAAAAUGAUGAAGCAAAAUUAGAGCUGGGUGGACGAAGUGGAGAUGUGCUUUUGGAUUCUUAUGUGAUAGUUGCAUACCAACGAAACUGAUGGAGAUGUUCUAUAGGACGGCGUUAAAACCAGUUAUUCUUUAUGGACGGAAUGUUCGGCGGUCAAGAUAUAUCAUAUUCAUCAAAUGAGUAUAGCUAAAAUGAGUAUAGACCAGGAAGGAUAGCAUUCAUAAUAAAUACAUCCAAGGGAACUAAGGGAUAGCUCUAAUAGGUGAUGAGACAAGGAAAAGUCGACUUAGGUGGUCUGGUCAUGUGCAACAUCGACCUGGAACAGAAUCAGUUGGGAGGGGUGAUUUGGGUCAAGUGGAAGAAUCUAAAUGUGUAAGUCCCAAAAGGGCAUCGAUGGAAGUAGUGAGAAGUGAUAUGGUGAUUUAUGAUUUGACUGAGGGUAUGGCCCUUAAUGGAGUGGAAUGGUCAAACAUGAUUCGUAUAGCCCAUCUCAAAUAGUUGGGAUAAGGCUCGAAUGAUGAUGAUGUCAUGCUUAGUGGUCGAGGAUUGGAUGUUACCGUAAGUUUAUUGCAUUCAUGGUUUUUACUGUGAGAAAAACAUGAGGCAAUACAUUUAAAAAAAGCAUUUUGUGCAUCCAUGGGCUCAUACAUUGGCUUUCUCCUGAUUUUAGGACUCAACAACACCCCAAAUCUUUGCAGUUCCAUUGCUGCCUGAGAUUCAGGAAUUUGGAACUCCAAAAAUAAUCCUGAUUUGAUAAUCUUUGAAGAAUUGAAAUAGAUGGGUUCAAAGACCAUUUAAAGGCACGGAGUUUAUUUUCCCCCCCAGAUUCUUGAUCAAGGAGGUCAAGAUGGUUUUACCUUUCGAGUUUUAGAUUGUGAAUUCAUCUGCAAGAUGGAAUUAUUCGGGUGCAUGAGUCCAUGGAGGCAACCUAAACUCACCCUUGCUUUUAUGGUUAUUCAAGGCAUUUGUUCUUCUUUCCUCUGUUGGUGACUUUUACUUGGUGGUUUUUAAUAUUUUUCAAACAUAAAGGCUGUAAAUUUCAUAGAUGUUUUCUUUUUAUUAUAUGCCAUACUUCUGUAUCUGUUUUGACUGUUUUUGCUCUCUUCAUGAUUUGAGUCCACAUAAUGUUAUGUUACUGGGAGCUGUCUGAAUUUUGUUUCCACGUGCUUCUCUACAUAUGUAAUAAUGCCAAUUAUUCUUACAAAUGAGUUCUUGAUUUCUUACAGGUUGAAAUAGCUCAAGCUUAUGAGAAAGGUGGAGCAGCUUGCCUUAGCGUUUUAACAGAUGAGAAAUAUUUCCAGGUACUUGCUGAACCUUUUGUCAAUGCCUAUGUAUAUUGUUUUUGUACUGAAUGACUGAAACUUGACUAAAGUCUUUUUAGCAGAUUGUAGUUGAGUAAAGUUGGUUUCAUGGUCUUCAUUCCUUUUCAUUAAUCUUACUGUACUUUCUUCUGGUUUGAAGGGUAGCUUUGAGAAUCUGGAGGCUAUCCGGAAUGCCGGAGUAAAGGUCUGGUCUUACAACCUAUAAGCCUUGUUUACUCAUCCUGUAUCUAUUGAAUGCCACUGAUACUGAUAUGUUCUUGCACAUUUUAUUUGAACCAAUAAUUUCUAGUCCUAUGUCGGUAUGUUUCACCGAAAGCUUUUUUCAUUGCACUUUUUAACCUAUUUUCUCAGUCCGCUGCUAACAUGGGAGCCGAAAUGCAGUGCCCUCUUUUAUGUAAAGAAUUCAUUAUCGAUGCAUGGCAAAUCUACUAUGCUCGGGCAAAAGGUGCAGAUGCAGUUCUUCUAAUUGCUGCUGUGUUACCUGAUGCUGACAUCAAAUAUAUGACAAAGAUCUGUGAGAAACUUGGCUUGGCAGCACUGAUUGAGGUUUGUGAAGUGUUUCCAUGUGUUUCAUUGAUGCUGUUUGGACAAUCCAUGAAUAAAUUGAAUAUAGGAAAUUUCAAAACCUGAACAUCUACAUCAUAUAGAGUUGUUUACCACUAUAAGGGAGCUUAACAGACAUAUUUGUCUUUGUUUUUCUUGCUUUGGAUUUUAUGUUGAGACUCAGCGGUGCUGAGAUGGCUAAGAUCAACUGCUUGCUAUUUCAAUGGCCAUGUUUCAAAUAAAAUGCUUCCAUUUAUAAAGCCAUCGUAUGUGCCAUGCUGAUCCUGGGCAUCUGGGUGGUAGUUCGAUGUCAGUUUGCAUGCAGCUUGAAAGGAUGGCCAAAGUUUAGUAUUGUAGAUAUCAUAUAUCAUAAUGCUACAGUGAUAACGUUCUGAUGCUAUAUCUUCUUCUACUUUUUAUUGUUGAUUUUUUGAUGCUGUAUCAUUUUAUAUCUUUUGUAUAGGUUCAUGAUGAAAGAGAAAUGGAUCGUGUGCUGGCAAUAGAUGGCAUCCAAUUAAUUGGUAUCAAUAACCGUGAUCUAGGUAAUCUAAUACAUCCUUAACUCUAUGGUUCUUACUUUACUUUUCAGGUUUUGAUUGUUCACUUUCAAACAGAAAAGCAGAAAAAAGUUUUGAUUGUUCCAUUGUUUCAAUGGAUUUCUUUAUCGGUAUUUUUGACAUAUCCGGAAACAUAGCUCUAGGAAAUCACUGUUGACCCACCUUUUCCCUGGUGUUUGUCAUACUCUCCGUCUUAUCUUUUGAGAUAAUUGUGUAUAUUGGAUGAGGAUCAAGCUAGAUUUCUGAAUGAUACAGGAUUAGCUUAUCAAAAAGCAGGAUUAGAUUUUUAAUCUAAAUGGCACUCUAAAUCUGUCUGUCUGGACAGUACUGGUGGAUUUGCAUGUCUUGGUAUAUUAACCUUUCAUGACUAUCUGAACGGUGUGGAUUUUGAUUUCCAUCUCAGAAGCUUUUAGGGAUUUUAUAUGACACAAAAGCUCCAAGUUACAUGUUGGAUUUGUUUCACCAUUUUGGGGUGACUAGUAUUAUUUUUCGGAUUGCAUAGAAGAACAUUGCCAUUGCAGUGUUAUCACUGUAAUAAAUUCUGGAGUUCUUGUCAUUGAUAUAUUUCCAUUGCUGAACUGAGUCUUAAUUCGAUUUCUUUUUUUCCCCUUCGUUUUUGAAUGUUGUCAGAUGGUUCAAUUAGGACUACAAUUCUUUCAGGACAUUUGGGACUAGGAUUAUGGUAAAUGGCACAAAGAUUAUAGUGAUGAUAAUCAAAUAAAAAAGCCUUCAGAUUUUUGUGCAGGCUUUUUGUGCAAACUUUUCUUCUUUUGUUUUGAAAAUUGCAGCAUGUUAGGCAGUUCUGUAAACAGUUGCAACAGUAAAUUGUGACUGACCCGAGAAAAUUGUUGUUGGGCAAUGUUCUUGACCAAAUAUUUUGAUCUGUGCCUGAUCUAUGCAAUAUACAAAAAAGCUUAUGUUAUUUGAGCCUUUUGCAGGAACAUUUCAAGUUGAUAUAAGCAACUCGAAGAAGCUUCUUCAAGGAGACAGAGGACAAAUGAUAAAGCAAAGAGAUAUAAUUGUAUGUUAGAUUCCUCACCUUACUUGGAUUUUUGUGGCAUGCUGAGACUUCAUGGUCUCCAUUAGAGCCCAUGAUGCAUUUAACUCAUGGUUCUCGACCUUAAGAGUUUAGUUUAUGGUGUAAGUUACUCAUAAGAAAGUUGAAUAGCACACCACAAGAGAACACUAAUAUCAUAUGGCUGAAACAAGCAGCAUGCUGCUACUAUGUUCUGCCUUGUCCCCAUAGUUCUAAGUUUGUGAAUUAUAAUUAUUUGUUAAACAUCCUAAAACUCAUGUCGUAAAGCAUAUUUGUUACAAUCCAAGACCUACUUCUAUUGUUCUUUUUAUGAAAAUUUAAGAGCUUGCUUGUUGAAAACAAAAAAUAAUAUAUGUUGGUUCCAUUACUGGUUAAUGGUCUUGUUUCAAUUACUUGUUUUCUUUUCGAGAAUUGGAUCGAUGGAUGUUUGGGUUUCUCUGGUACAGGUGGUUGGGGAAUCUGGGCUGUUUACACCUGAAGAUAUCGAGUAUGUGCAAGAAGCUGGAGUCAAAGCAGUAUGUCCUCUCAGUUGUAACUCACUCUAAAUAAUUAAUGAACCUAAUUUUUUGCCUUUUGAAGUUUCCAAUGAUAUCUCGAGUCUGUUUUUUUGUUCAGUUUUGUGUGUUUUCCCGCUUAGUCAGGUGCAGUGGUUUCCAAUAGAACUGGUGGUAAGCAUGGUGCAUUGGGAGAAGUCGUUCCAAAUUUCUUCUUUGUUAGUUGUUGCGUCUUUGCCAAUUUGGAUGCUUGGUUCAUAUGUAGAUUUUUUCUCCAUCUCUUAGGCUCAGGUUUCUACAGAGAGAGAGAGAGAGUAGGACUGGUAAUAGGUCAGGCUGGGGCUGAGGCUGAGGCCCGGUCUCUAUAGGGCUGGCCCUAGCCUGGGCCAAGCUGAAGGUGCUGUAGCCAACGCCUGGCCCAUGCCUAAUAAAAACAAAGAAAAUUUAAAACAAAAAUAUAGGGCCAGCCUGGCCCUUGGGCCACAUUUUGUGGCCUAGGCCCUAGUUUUUCAGUGCAGGCCCGGCCUAUUGCGAACUCUAUGAGAGAGUAUACCAUAACAUAGUUGAGAAAGAGUGCAUGACCAUACAAUGGUAGAGAGAGAGAGGGGGCAUGGGAGAGAGAGGCAUAUGUGUGUGUAUGUGAAGGAGAGAGGGAGAGGCAUAUAUGUGUUACUAAAUCUAGUUUUCAUCUCACUCCUUUUGCCGAACGGAUCUUGCAGGUUUUAGUGGGUGAAUCGAUUGUGAAGCAGAGCAAUCCUGCCAAAGGAAUUGCAGGGCUUUUUGGAAGAGACAUCUCCAUAUGAUCAUGGAAUUUUUUAUUUUUUUUUAAUUGCUAAAUAUUGGAGUACAUUCAGACUGAUUGAGAACAGCAUCCCGGGUCUAAUGGUCAAGUGUAACAAAGUGAUGUUUAGAGUUUCAUUAUCAAUGGGUCUCAAGUCAAUAUUAAUAAACAGAAAAAAUUUAUGCAAGAUUGCAAUGAAGUAACAUUAUAAAUUUAUUUUAUUUAAACGAUGUAGAUUUGACACUAUCUUAAAAGAUGUGUCAAUAUUAAAAGGGAAAAGUUUAUAUAAGGUUGCAACUUUAAAAUGUAGAAUUAUAGAUGCACUUCAAUAAUCCAUCGUAGAACAUUGUUACAAUGUUGAAAACCUCUUUAAUUGAUCAUCUCGAUCUCGAGAUAUAUGAAUACGAAAUAACGAAGAGAUUCCGAGUCCAAAAAAUAGUGUAAUUUACAAUAAAUUAUCUACACUGUCCAUUUUCAAGAUUUUUAUAUAUUUAUGAGUAAUGAUCCUAUAAAAUUUUUCCACACUUAUGUGUGUAGUACUUCAAAGGAUCAUUAUUAAAUUUGAUACAGAUCUUUAGAAAAGUGAAAAGUGAAGUUUCAUAUCCAUAUGAUAAUUUUUUUAGAUAUUUGUGUUAAAUUUAAUGAUCUUUUGGGGUGUGUGGGAGGGUCGUAUACGAUCAUUACUAUAUAUUUAUAGAUUUAUUUGAUUUUUACCAUUUUUGGAGUUUUAAAUUUUAUAAUUAAAUAUGAAAAUAGAUUUUCAGAUAAUCUUAAGAGGGUUUUACAUCAAAAAUACAUGUUAUAUUAAAAUUUGGAAGUGUGCCUUAAUUUGAUUGUUUAAGGUUGCGACCUUGUAGAAACCACACCCAUCUUAAAAGGCAUUUAAUUUAUGUCAUUUAACUAUAAUGACUAACUUUGCUUCUAUAAGUAAGUAUGCGGCCUUAUACAAAUUGCAACCGAAAAUAAGUAUAUAUUAUAACGUUUUGUUUAUUUAUGUCACUCAAAAGGAAUGUCGGAUUUUUGUUUUUAUUUUUAGGGAAAUCAUUGUUAAUAUACCUAAAUUUUAAUAAAAAUGAAAAAAAUUCUGAACUUUUCAAAACCUUGCCUACACCUUUUUUUCUCAAUUUUUGUUAGCUUUUGGAUGAAAAUACCCUUUAUGGUAGUCUUUCUAUCUUAAUACUUAUACUUUUUAUGGUAAUAUAAAUAUUGUUAUACAUUGAGUUAGUAUUAUGAUAUAAAGAAUACCAUAAUAUUUUGAAUUUAUAUUAUGGUAUAUAGAAUACCGUAAUAUCUUUGCGGUAUUCUUAAUGCCGUAAUGCUCUACUUCCAUCAUUGUUGUUGUUGUCUUCUUCAAUUUGAUGUGAUGAGGACACAUUGUUGCAUAAAUUCUUGAAAUAAAUUUCAGUAUGCAUACAAGGCAUUUGAAGAUUUGGUGUAGGUUGUGAGUUUUUUUUAGUUGAAUCUUCAAAUAGCAUUGCAGUGCAAUAAUGAUGUAUUUUAUGCGCAAAGUAACCAUUACAAAGAAAAGACUUCCUCUCUCUAGUAACCAUUAUCUACAUGUGGUUAUUCCUUUAUCUUCGCAUAAUAAAUCAGUGGGUAAUACAAUACACAUUUGCUGCAUACACUGCUCAGCCGCGGUAGACGUUUCAGCACAUUCAGUAACCAUAUUACCGUAUAAUUUGAAUGAAGUAUUACGGUAUACUAGAACCGUAAUAUCAUGCCAAAGUAAUACAGUAAUUAUAUUACCAUAUAAACUCUCUUCUUUAUAACCGUAUAUAUAUUACCGUAUAGGCUUUUGUAAACAUUACGAUAUUUAAAUUACCAUAAUUCUAUUUACGGUAUAUAGACUAUCGUAAAAAGUAUUUUCGUUCAAAAAAAUCCAAAAUGAGAAAAAAAAGAAGCGAGCAAGGUAUUGAGAAUUUGAGGGUUUUUUUUUCAAAUUUUAUUAAAAUUUGAGUAUAUUAACGAUAAUUUUCUUUAUUUUUAAUUUAAAAAAAUAUUGAAUCUUUGAGUUAGCCAAGAUUUGCGCAAUUGGAUAACAGCGACUAAUUUGGUCAGCUAAAAAGUGGUCAGAAAUCCAACUUUUUUCAUAAUCUAAAAAUAUAAAAUAUAAUUUUAAAUCACCUUGAACCGAAUUAAGCCUAGUUUAGGCCUUGAGGGUAAAUGACCAUUAUAUUAUAGAAAUGAAAUAAGGAAACUUUUAAGGAUUUUUGGACUUAAUUUUUAAGGAUAUGUAAUCUCUAACGUGGAGAUCAUGAAUAUGAAUAAAUAAAUAAAUUAUAAAAACUAAAAAUAAUAGUUCUAUUAAAAAAACAUUUGGACCAUUAGUUUCAAUUGUUUAUUAUAUAUUUUUCAUGUUUUCAGGUGUUUACGUACGGGUUCUCAAAGUUGUCUUCUCUUUUCAGGUAGGCCACUGUGAACAUAUAUUUGAAUAUGGAGAAGAGAUUUGCCAAUGUACCUUUUCUGUUAUCUGGCAACAUGGUCCACAAUCCGGUAAAAGGGAAAACAUCCAUGUAGAGGAUAUUUGCUUGCUGCAACCUCAAAAUCCUAGGACUAAUACCAUAUUGGAAAAUUUUAUAAUGAAAUGCAAAGAAAAAUUUAGCUCAAAUUCCAAGAAGCCUAGGAAUCGACCUUUAUCUAGUUCUCAAUUUUGUGACAACAAAUGCCUGCCCCAUGAACCAGUUGGCCCUGAUCUUAAGAAUAGAAAGGAUGGAUUACCAUAUAACUGCAACUGUCCCUCCAACAGUAUAAAGAAAGAAGCCCUGGAAAGAGAUAACAGAGUGUCAGACUUGACAAGUGGAAAUGAGAAGGAUGGAAACCUUUGUGGCAGUAGAAAGUCUUUUGACUAUUACUCUUGUGAUGAUGAGAAUAGAAAUCUGGUUAAGCAUGACUUCUGUAGGGAAAAGUUAAAGGGCCGUAAUGAUUGUCGAGGUAUGAAUGUCUCUAGUGAAACUCAUGAAACCAUAAGCACGUAUUUUGUUAUCUUGAUUGAGAAUUUGGAGACAGAUCUAUCAGCUCUAGAUAUCAUGGAUUUCAUUUAUGAGCAAACCUUUGUUUUGUGUCGAACAAUAGCUUGUCAACAGAGCAUUAUGCAAGGGGAGCUAUUUUUUUGGAAAACCAAGAGAGCUUUAUGAAGGUGUAUAGUUUGCUAUAUAACCCUGAUCAUAUGGUCAUGUCCUCAAACGGAAGGUAUGAUUAUUCCUGAUUAUAUUCUUUUACACCCUCUCUCUCUCUCUCUCUCUCUUCCUCGACAUAUCCUUGUCUUUGUUAUGUUAGGGUUUUGGCAAAUUGUGUCACCCAAUGCAUUUCAUUUGAACAAAGAGUUUGGUAUGCUUUACAAUUGAUAGUGACAUUGUCGUGAAUUCUCAUGUGUAACCUAAUGUUUAUCCUAUGUUGAUCCUGGGCCCUCCUGCCCCUAGCCCUAAUUGUGUUGUACGUUUACCAUAUGGAUAUGUUACUCUGCGGUUAAGUUAGGUUCGAAAUAGUAUAUAAGGGAUUUAUGUGUUUUUGCUUCGAUGGAGAGAUUUAUCAGGGAGAGCCAUCUUCUACUUUUUUCGAGCUGCAAUAGUAUAAUCAUUGAUAUCUUUGCCCGUGGAUAUAGUCACAACUUGGUCUUCUUCUUUGUUAUUUAUUUUCGGCCAAUUUGUUUUAUGUUUGAUCUUGUUCAUUGUCAUUUCCUCUUUUUUCAUAUUGUCAUCGACCCAAUCUGCUAUGAGUUUUAUUCAGUGGCUAUGAUGGUGUUGUACUUGCCAUAGAUUUCUUGAUAUUACAUUGUUGUUGGACGGUGAAAAUCUUCAAUUGAAGCAGGGCCCAUAUCGUGAUGCAUUAUCAAAAUAGUCAAUAUUUUAUUGGUUGCUAAAAAAAUUUCAGUUAUAUCUAUAUAAUCUGAAAAGCUGACCCCAAAUAAUGGGAUAAGGCAUACAUGUUGAUGAUGAUUUAUAUAAUUUGAAAAUAUGGUAAUCUUGAUUUGAAUCCUGCUUGGUAGCCAAUCCAAAUAAUAGUGGCCUAACUGGAUGCCACAUUUCCUGUUUUUUCAUGAUUAACCCGGCUGAAUUAAGUGAGCAGUCCUAUUUCUUAUUGCUGCCUGGUUCCUAACAAGCCAUAGCUCACAGCAUCACAUUUGUGGUCCUAGCUUAGUUGCUUGGAAGUAGGGAAAUACUUUCUUGUAUGACAUGUUAUGUGGCUAUCAUUCCAUUAUGGAACAGUGACUCUAGUUUAUUUGGUUGUUUACGGGGCCCUAAUUGCCUCUGAGGUCUCUAGAAAGAAUUUCACUUCAGUCAAAUGCCAUUUUAGAAUAGAGAAACUCCACCGUCAGUAAACUAAAUUUGGUAGGUGAUCCGCUGAAGAACUUAUCUAUUUCCGAAUAAUAUUGCUUGCAUUCACUGAUUACAAACAAGAUUUAUGAAAACAAAAGGAAAAAGGUAUUAUCCACUCAAAUUUACCAACUAAUGGAAUAUAGUAUGCAAAAAGCAAGUGCUCUGGUUUUUGUUGCUGAACGAGAAUGAGUCUGUGAGGAGUGGGGAUUAAGUAAAAUUGCUGCAUAAAUAAGAUUUGAUCAGCUUCACACUAUGAGGGUGGGGGAAGAAAUAAGAGGCACCUGAGGAAGGUUUAGAGGAAGAGAGCAUGCCACAUUGAAGGAUUAGAAACAUUGGUAUGAACUUCUUCCAUUCUGCACCGAGAUGGGUAAGGUUACCGUCUCUUUCGAGCUGUGCAUACAAAUUUAAGGGAGAGAAUUGAGCUGAAAAUGAGAGAGUAAGGGGAAGUGAAUGGUCUUGUAGGAGACCUUGCCAUGAGAAUCUAUCCCACAACACUCUGAAUGGUGGGUAUCGCCUAAUCAAUCCAAUGCAAUGGUUGGAGGGGGAUGGCCCACCUUAUCCUGGUGGGAGGGCCACCCACCUGAUCAACAUCCUAUAGUCAAAGCUUAAAGUAGAUAUUUUCUUUUAUUUUAUGUUCUUGUAGGUUAAUCGAGGAUUCAGUAAGUUCAUUCACUAAACAUGCAAAGUGGGAUGGAUUAUUCAGGGAAACUUGACCCCCAAAAGCUGAUGAAGGAUUAACUUUUGGUAGAUGGGUGGUUCUAUAUAUGGAAACCUUGUUUAUGUUACCAUCAAUUGGUUAGCUACAUUUUAUCUCAUUAUAAACUGAAGUUUGUAUUUUUUAUUAUUAUUAUUUUUUUUCAGUUUCUUCGCCCAUUUAAACUUGCCUUCAAGUUUUUGAUAACCAAUGAAAAUCUUGUUUUUAACUUUAGGGGUAUCUAUCAGUUCUGCUAUGAUAGCUGUGACCCCAGUAAUUUCUGCUUAUAUUUUUAUUUUAUAUUUUACUUUGUAAAUUCCAAUCAAACUUGUGCACAAAUUGGCUCUAGAAUGCUGAUGUUCAUGUCUUUUAUUUACUGCAGUCUACAAUUAAAAGUUUGUUCCUUUUUAUUAUCAUGGACUUGUGCGAAUCGCUUUUUUGGCAGGCCUUGGGUGAUUACUGAAAAGGACUGGAGGCCAGGAACAACUGUAAGAGAUUUCAUUUUCAGGUCGUCAGAUCCUGAGGUCUAGUGUUGAAGUUAAUUCUAGUAUGCAACUUUUGUGACUCGUGACCAUGAAAUAGACAGCUCUGAUUAAUUAUGAAGCACCCAUACACUCAAGGUUCUUGAUUUUUUGCAAAUAAUAUGAUGGCAUGAUAGUCAUUUCCUUCAUGUUUGGUGGCAUUACAGUUCUCUCACAAAUAAAAUUGCUAUUUGAAUGUUUUGGAGAAGGUGGAUCCGAUCCGCAUCCGACGUAGUUAUUAAAAUAUUCUAUAUUACAUUAUAUAUACAUAUUUUUUAUAUUCUAUAUUUUGUUGUAUAUUAUUUAUAUUAUUUUAUAAAUAUAAAAUAACAUAUAAAUUUUUUUUUUUUUAAUCCGAUAGGGUUUCGAUCCGAGAUUUGAAUCCCAUGUAUAUUUUUUGGAUCUGCAUGCAGAUCCAAAUAUUAUGAAUAAGUUAUUGUUAAUAUUAAGGGUGACAAUGGGCCAGGCGACCUAGGUCUAAACAACCCAGGCCGCUAAAUUUGGCCCAACAGCCUAGGCAUAAACUUGACAUCCAGGCUGGCUUGGUCUUGGGUCAAGGUCCCGGCCUUCUUUUCUUUUCUUUUUUUCUUUUAAUGGAUUAAAGUGGUAUCUAUUGGCCCAGCCUGACCCAUUGACAGGGUGGGGUUGGGCAACUUAAUUUUUUGUAGGUUCGAUCCUGGGUAGGAUCCUAGGUCUGGCUCAAGUCGGCCUUAUCCCGGGUCCAACCUAUUUUCACCUUGUUGAUAUUAGUAUGAUUUUGGAAAAAAUUACUAGCCUUUUUCCAUGGCUCUGUUGGAAGUGGUUCUGUGUUGUAUUCCUCUUGUUUAUUUGCUAUCCCUCCAAUUUUUUUGUAUUACAGGAGAGAUGAGUUAAGAAUUAAAGGAGAGGCUUGCAAGAAAUUAAAGGUUGUCACAAAGGAUGACCAGGCGUACGAGAAAAGAGAAGUAUUGAAGACUUUAUUCGUUGAGCUUCAUGAUCACUUAUCACGCCUCCACAUAAGACUGGCUGAAGAAGAGGGGAAGAUCCUCUCCAAGCUCUCUACAUGAUACAUACAUGCAGGUAUAUAUGGCACAAUGCAUGUAUGUAUGUAUAUGAACAUGUACAUAUUAUGUUCAUAUGCAUGGCUUAUGUUUGUGUAGGUACUUGCUAUGUUGCAUGUUGAGAGAGAAAGAAAGAGUGAGAGAGAUGGAGAUGCUCUCAAUUUUGUUGUGGCUGCCCAGAUUAGGGAAGAGAUAAGAGAUGAUUUCAAUUUUGUUGGGCCUGCCCAAUUUGGGCAUUCCUAUCCACAUUUUUUUGUAAACCUUCGAGUAAGCCUUCUUUUUUCCAAUUAAUUGGGGUUGGCUACAUGAAUACUGAUCUGCCGGCCGUUCCCUGCUAUUAAGGACCAUACACUCAAUAAGGUCAUAAGUCCAACUUUAAAAGAAUAUUGAAUUAAGCAUGAAUCUUGACUAAUUGAGUACUCAAUAAUGGAUAAGUAAUGAAUAGUUGUAUAUUAUUCCUUUGUUUGUAUUUUGCUUUGGAAAAUCUUCUAUGUCAUUCAAAAGUAAUCUCUCUCUUUGUACCAGUGUUUUGGAGAAUGUAAUGCUUUGUAAAGUGUGUUUUGUUUUUUUGUAGAGGGGGUAAUGGGUUGCUAUACGGACCGGACUUGUUAUCGAACCGUUGAAGGGAUAGAUCCGAUCGAUCAUAACUGUUGAAGGGACUGAUCUGAUUGUGAUCAAUCAUUAGUGGACCAUGAUGCCAAUAUUUAAAAGGGGUGUGGUUUCCAUAAGGUUGCAACCUUAAACAAUUUAUUUAGGGCGCACCUACAAAUUUGAUCAUAUGUAAAAAUAUUCUUAAGAUUAUCUCAAAAUCUAUUUUCAUAUCUAAUUAUAAAAUUUUAAACUUUAAAAAUGAUUAAAAUCAAGUAGAUCUAUAAACAUAUGAAAAUAUUAAAAAUGAAUGGUCUAGAUAAUGUGUUUUAAGGUGUGCAUCAUUUCUGGAAUUCAAAAUCCAUUAUUUUUUCCUAACCAUUCAUCUCAAACAACUUUUUCCAUGGAUUUUUGAAGUGCAUAUGUAGUUCUACAUUUUUAAAGUUGCAGCCUUAUAUAAACUUGUUCCACUUAAAAAUAUGUAUAAAAAUGUUAAUUAAUUUAUUAAAAAAUUAUAAAGCAAAAAGUAUAAGAUCCAUCGAAUUUGAAGGGGCCCUGCAUAUAAAUAGGUAAGCCGGCCUACUUACCAGAUACUUUUCCUAGGUAUGUUUGGUAUGUGGAAAGAGAGAGAGAGGAUCUUUGUUGGGAGGAGUGAGAAAGUGCACAGGAAAAUACUUUUACUAUAAGAAAAAGUUCAUGAGAAAAUAGAGUUUAGGAAAAGCUUUCAGAGCUUUAUCUUGGACUGGCAUUCAAUUGAAUUCGAGAGAGACGUCCUCUUUUCAAGUGAAUUAUUUUGUGAAAAAAUUUUGAGUUGUUUGCAAUUAGACAGUCAAAUGAUGAAGUUUUAAAAAAUGCAGUUGGCAUACGGAUGUAUCCGUAGCUGUAGAGAAAAGGUGCACUUUCAAAUUUUGUCCUAGUAUAUAAUUUUGAUGUAAAAUGUUAUUAAGAUUAUCUCAAAAUCUAUUUUUAUAUCUAAUUAUAAAAUUUUGAAAUUUAAAAAUAGUUAAAUUCAAGUAGAUCUAUAAACAUAUGAAAAUAUUGAAAAUGGACGGUGUAGAUAAUAUAUCAUAAAAUGCCCUAUUUUUUAGACUUAAAAUAUUUUUAUUUUUCAUGAUCAUAUAACUCGAUGUCGAGAUGACCAAUCAAAAGGUUUUCAACAAUAAAACUAUCUUUUCUGAUAGGUUUUUGAGGUGCAUCUGUAGCUGCAGAGGUAAGGUUGCAACCUUAUAUAAACUUUUUCUAGUUUUAAAAGCAAAAAAAUUGAUGUAAAUACCUGUUUUAGGAAAAUAGUUUGAUAGGGCUUCAUCCCUUUCAAAAUAAGUAAAGCCUCACCGUAUAACUCAUCAAAAAUUGCAAUUCAAGUGUUGAAAAACUUUUACAUCGAUUAUUUUUGCUUGAACAUUAUGGUUAUGAAGAAAAAGAAGGAUUUCAAGCUUCAAAAAUAGUAUAUAUUCUAUUAAAUCAUCUAGCCCAUCCAUUUUGCCCAAAAAAUAAAUGUUCAUAGAUGUGCAGUAUCUCUACAUUUUUUUAGUUUCAAAAUACAUUAUCAGUGUUGAAAAUUGAUUUAAUGGCCAUUAUGGAUAUUUCCAUUGCCGAAAGUUUUUUCUGGAUGAAGAUUUGAGGUGAGGCUUUAUUUUGUUUUCAUAAAGCCUAGGUUUUAUACAAACUUCAUCCAUUUAAAAAAGUCUCUAAAUUUUUUAAUUUUAGGUCUUCUGUUUUUUGACCAACAAAUUUUAGGUCUUUUUUUCAUUUUUUCCAAAGCCAAAAGAUAUUAUAAUCCUUCAAAAAGUAUACAGCCAUUUAUUCUCUGUGAAACGCACCUAGGAUUGGUUUUAGGACCCAAAAUUUUGGGGAUAUAGCGUCUUUAAAAUAUAGAUUAUUCCUAUUAAAAAAAAAUAUUAAUUACAUCCUCUAAGUACUUGAAAAAAAUCAUAUCUUAAGAGUGAGUAGAAACCGUCUAUUUUUUAAAAGGGAGAUCUAAGUUUCUGAAAAACUCAAAUUUCCUUUUUUUUUUUUUGAAAAAAAUUCAAAUUUCAUUCUAAAGUGGUUAUCAAAAUUUUAGAUUGAAAAAAAAUCUCCAAAGUAGGUCACCGACCUAGGUCACUGACCUAGGGAGUAGAAGUAAACUAUACUCUUGAGAGAGUAGAUUUUGCGAAAAAUAUUUUUCAGAGCCAACAAUAUCAUGCUUUUGACUCUUUAAGAGUAUUGAACAAAUAUAACAAGUAAAAAUGAAAGCAUUCGAUAUUGUUAAGUACCAGAAGAGGAGAGACAACAGUUUGGUACCAAUAGUUCAGAACAUAGCACAGAAAUGAAUAUUUGUUCAUUAUUUUUUGUACAAAACUUAGUUAAAGGAAUGAAUAUGUUCAAUACUCUGAACACUGUUAUUUGCAAAGGACACGGUUAGGAUGCCCGCUUAGCCCGCACAUAUAUAAAUGUGGGCCCCUUAAUAAAUCUAUUUUUGAGAUGAAUGUGUAGACUUAAUUUUUAAGGAUAUGUUAUCUCUAACAUGGAGAUCGUGAAUAUGAAUAAAUAAAUAAAUUUAAAAACGAAAAAUAAUAAUUCUAUUAAAAAAACAAUUCGACCAUUAGCUUCAAUUGCUUUUAGAUAGAUCAUUCAUAUACAUCCAUUUUGUUAAUAAUUUUUUCUUUUUACAAAAAAACCAACAUUAAUACAGUUUGAAAGUGAGAGCACAGAACUAACAAGUAUUUUAGGAAGAAAAAAAAGAGAAGGGUAUUAAUUUUUUUAAAAAAAUAUAUAAUUCAGUGUUUCAUGUAAAAUUAUAAUUUAAGCUUAGGCUCUAAACAAUCAAAUUAGAGCCUACCUUCAAAUAGUGUCGAAAAAUGUGGUUUCAAUACUGGAAAUUUUUUUUACACCUUUAAGAUAUAUUUUCAUUUUUAUUUAUAAAGUUUAAAGCUUCAAAAAUAAUGUAGAUCGAGAGAUUUAUGAAAACUUGAAAAUUAACAGUAAAAAAAUGCUUUAUAAAAUACACUAUUUCCAAAAUUUGAAAUCCAUUUUUUUCUCGUGUCUAUGCUUCUUGAUGUCAAGAUGAUCAAUUUGAAGAUAUUUGGGCGUCAAAACAACCUCUUCUAGUGAAAUUUUUAAGCUAGGCUCUAAUUUGAUUAUUUAGAGCCUCAGCUCUAUAUAAACUUUUCCCUUUUUUAAAUGUCCAUAAAUAAAAUGAUGCAGUUGGCAUACGGAUGCAUCCGUAGGUUUAGAGGUAAGGUGCACCUUCAAAUUUUAUCAUAGUAUAUAAUUUUGAUGUAAAAUGUUAUUAGAAUUAUCUCAAAAUCUAUUUUUAUGUCUAAUUUUAAAAUUUUAAAUUUAAAAAAUGGUUAAAAUCAAGUAGAUCUAUAAACAUAUGAAAAUCUUGAAAAUGUACGGUGUAGAUAAUAUGUUGUAAAAUGCACUAUUUCUGAGGCUUAAAAUCUUGUUAUUUUUCAUAGUCAUACAUCUCGAUGUUGAGAUGAUCAAACAAAGGUUUUUUCAAUAUUAAAACUACCGUUUCCCAUGGAUUUUUGAGGAGCAUAUGUACUUCUAGGUAGCAUCCUUAUAUAAACUUUUUAGAAAAGUUUAUAUAAAGCCCAAGCUCUAAACAAUCAAAUUUGAGCCUACCUCAAAAAUUUCACUAGAAGAGGUUGUUUUAAUGCCCAAAUAUCUUCAAAUUGAUCAUCUCGACAUCAAAAUCCAUGAAUAUAAAAAAAAAAUGGAUUUCAAGUUUUAAAAAUAAUGUAUUUUGUUUCGGACCGUCGAUUUUCAAGAUUUUCAAGUUUUAAUAGAUAUGUCGAUUUAUAUUAUUUUUGAAGUUUCAAAUUUUAUAAAUAAAUAUGAAAAUAUAUUUUAAAGCUAUCUCAAAGAUUUCCAAUAUUAAAACCACAUUUGGUGGACACUAUUUACAUUAAUUUCUUAGGAUCGUGCAAAAGAGGUGAGAGAAAAUUUGGUUUUCUCUCUCAUGAGUGCUUUGUUUUUCAAUUCUUACCGUCCUAAAUCUGGCAACUGAGUAGGCCUGAAAAUCCUUUCUCUUUCUUGCUUCACAAAAUGUGUUCCAAAACAAAGCUCUCUCUCUCCUCUUCUCUCUCUAGAGACCCAACGACCCAAAACCGGAAAUGUGGUGUUACAGUUUCCGCCUCUUCCGAGCAUGUCAUGGAGCCCAAUAUAGAUCAUGAAAUUAAAACCGUAUCAGUGGCAGGUUUCUUCUUCCUCUCACCCCAAAAACCAUUACAAAAACAGGUAGUGGUAUCCACUUUUUCAUUGUGUUCCUCUCUCUCUCUUUAAACCAGGUACAUUAUCACCUGAAAAAAUCCCAGUAAAAACAAUUCACUGUUUCAUGAUCCUCUCUCUCUAUAACCCAGGUGAUACCCACCCAUUUUUCUCUCUUCUCUUGCAAAACCGGAAUACUCCACCAGCGAGAGAGACCCAUUUCUUUAGUUUUUUCUUGAGAUAGAGAAAGAGACACAUUUAUCUCUCUUCUGUUGUAGAGACCCAUUUUUCUUAGUAUUCUCUAAAGAGAGAAACCCCAUUGCUCUUCAUUAUCUCUUCCUACAACCAUGGGCUUUUCAGAAAGUCGACCACCAAAACCCAAUCCAGAAGUGAACGCUAAAAUCCGUUCUUCUUCUCUCUCCUCUCGGUCUCCCCCUUUCUCUCUAGAGUUUAGAGCUUCUGAUGAUGCAUGGUAUGAUGUCGAGCUCAGUCUCGAAAACGACGCAUUGUCUAUGAAAUUUUCUGUUGAUUUACCGGUGUUCAUGAAGUAUAUGGUUGAUUAUUUUGAAGAUUUAAAAAAAGUGAAUGAAUUCAGUGAGAGAUUCAGAGCUGUUUCUACUCAACUUCAAGAUGAAGAGUGUUGGACUGUGUUAGAUGGAAUGAUAGUUUGUGCUUCACAGGAUCUAGGCCAACAUGGAAGGAAGUUUUUCGAUGCUCUUAUUAAAAAGGUAAAAUUCCUAACUAUUUUCUUCUUUUUGUCGUCUAUUUUGUGCUGAGUAAUAUUUUACCAUUAUUGUUUUUUGAUUCUCUGGUUUUUUCAUGGCUUCCUCAGAGAAAACCAUCUCAGGAUAUUUUUUUUUUUUUUAAAGACAAUGGAUACCUGAGGUUUAAUAUUUUGAGAUGCGACAUUCACUGGAUUGGGUCUUUCUCUCUCUACAAAUGGAUUUGAACUUGUUUUCUGAACCUGUUUUUUUGUCAUUAUGCGUUUGAGAGGUUUUGUUCUUCAUGGUGCAAAAGCGGUUUCCCAAAACGUGUUUUCCAUUUGCUAACCCGAUUGGUGGGACAGUCAAAUCUGAUCUUAAUAACUACAUGCAAAACAAUCUGAUCUUGAUGGGUACAGUGCAUUCGUAGCUGUAGAGGUAAGGUGCACUUUCAAAUUUUAUGAUGAUAUAUAAUUUCGAUGUGAAAUGUUUUCAGGAUUAUCUCAAAAUCUAUUUUUAUAUCUAAUUAUAAAAUUUUAAAUUUAAAAAAUGGUUAAAAUCUAGUGGAUCUCUAAAUAUAUGAAAAUCUUGAAAAUAGACGGUGUAGAUAAUAUGUUGUAAAAUGUAUUAUUUCUGAGACUUAAAAUCUUUUUAUUUUUCAUGGUCAUACAUCAUGUCGAGAUGAUCAAUCAUAAGGUUUUUCAAUAUUAAAACUACCUUUUCCGAUAGAUUUUUAAGGUGCAUCUCUAAUUCUACAUUAUAAGGUUGCAUCCUUACAUUAACUUUUUCAGAUCUUAAUAACUACAUGCAAAACAAUUUUGGCCUCGGCCUUGUCAAUAAUAAAGUGGUUUUUGGGCUUUAUUACUUUGUGUUUUGAGUUUUCAUAAGUGGUUAUCUUAAUUCCAUUUCUGAGUGGAUGGAAAUAUCCUUUCCCUAAAAUUAGACGUCUUCGGAUUUUUUUUUAAAAGAAUAAUAUAAAUAAAACAUAGUUUUAUAUAUACAAAUGUAUGAAAAUAAUAAAAAUUUUGAACAUAAAAAUUCAAAAAAAAAAAACAAUUAAUAAAAAAGACAUAUAUGUGCUUCGGAGGCCAAAGCUUAUGCAGCGAAGCAUGCUGAAGUGGAUGCAUCGGAGCUUCGCUUUGCUUUGGUUUAGGUCGAAGGCCGAAGCAAAGUGAAUAUGUACCAUUUUGAAGGACUCUUUCAUGAUUUUUUUCUUAGAAAAUUAUAUAUUUUUUUAUUCUAAUAACUUUUAGGAUUUGGUAAUUCAAGUUAGUGUAUUUAUUUGUUUAUGAUUUAUUACUGGUUUAUUAUCAAUUUUUGGGUAGUUCUAGUUCAUUGGCAUUUGCUUGUCUUCUUUUUUCUAUUUUAUUUUUUCAUAUAGGUCUUGUUGGAUAAAUGGGAAAAUCUGAAAUUCCUCUAAAUGGAAAUUGGAAGUACUAUUCUUUCUUACUGGUUUAUUAUUGUUUGAUUUUUGUCUUCCUUUAUCUAUUUUUUGAGAGUUCCCAAGUUAGUGUGCUGGGACUUGGCCGAGUCGAGCGGACUCGGUCUUUCCUCCCAAGUUAGGUGUACAACUCGUUACUCCUAAAUAAAUGCUAGAAAAAUUAUAUAAAAAUGUAAAGAAUAGAAAUAAGAAAACACUAGCAUAGUGGUUUGAAAUACCUCUUCAAAAGAUUUUGUUAGUUUUUUUAGAUUAUGUCCGAACUUCAUUAUUUGCCCUUUUUGUAAAUAUUUUUAAGAGUAUUCAAGAUAUAAAUCUACUGUUUCAGUUAUCGAAUUUUCAUAGUUUUUUCUGUUAGUUCCCGCAUGAUCUAAAAAAUAGAAAUAAAAAAACACUAGCAUAGUGGUUAGAAAUACAAAAGGCAAAUAACUGUUUCUGAUAUUUACAGAAUUUUUAGAGAUUGUUAAAAAUUUCUUUAAGCCUUUUUUUUAAGUUUUUUUGGGUGCACCUAACUCGAGUCAAUUUUUUGUACACUGAUUCAAGUUGUGUGCUGCAUUUGUGGUUUUGUGGGUUUGUUGGAUAAGUGGGGAAUGUCUGAGAUUGCUCUAGCUGAAAACUAAGAUAAAUGAACUCAAAUAUUGCUUUUAUUUACUUUAUUGUCAUUUGUUUCUCCUCCUUUUCUAUUUUCAGGGCAAUCCAAGCUAUUUAUUGCUCGUGUGAGUUUGUUGGUUAAAUGGGAAAAUCUGAAAUAUAGCUACUUGAAAAUGGAAAAAUUACUCAAAAUAUUAGUUAUCAUUUGUAACUGGUUUGUCAUCAUUUUGGGUAAUUCAAGUUUUUGGCUUCAUUCAUUAUUUAUGUGGGUUUUUUUUGGAAGAAAGGUGAAAAUCUGAAAGUCCUCUCGGCAAAAAUAAUAAAGACAACAUUAAAUAUUUAUUUAAUAUUUUUUACAGUUUACUAUCACUGGCUUGUGUAAUUUAUUUUUCUAGUUUUUUGGGGCUGUUGAAUUAAGUUAAUAAAUUGGAUUUAUUUAUUUUUGCACAUGUGUUGGGAUCAAGAGGAAAUCCCUCUAGCUUAAGAGUUAAGACACAUUUCUUUACACUAAAUGGUUAAUUUAUUUGUAGUUAUUUACUAGGUUUAUGAAAUGCUGUUUCUUUGGCAUGUUAAGCCACAAAUAUGUUGUUAUAUAUAAUUAGGAGGAAAAGUAUGCGUACGCUAUAGGUGCAUGGUAUAUGAUACACCAUGUGAGUAUCCAUCAUUGGUCCUCUAUGGUGGGCAGGUGUAGAUUAUGCAUAUAAGGGUCCAUGUGUUUACAGAAAUUUUAAUAGAAAUGUUUAUCCUCAGGAACAAGACACUGGAUGUUCUCUUGAUGUGUUGUGUAUACUACUUCAUUGAUGUAUGGUGUACUUUCCCAAUACAUGCAUAUGGGAUAUUAUGAUAUGGACAUAACAUGAACCUGCAGAUUUUUGAGCUUCGAACUAAACAAUAGAGAAAAUAUUUAGAGUAUUUUCCUCUCUUCAUUUGCGGCGGUUUCGCUGAAUUUUCUGUCUGUUAUGUUGGAAAAUUGUUUUUUAGCAAUCUAAUAUUGUCACAUCCAAUGUUUUGAAAAUUCUGAAAUUCUUCUAAUUAAAAACAUGAGUGUUAACCUCCUAGAUUAUCCUUCUAGAUUUAUUACCUAUUGAUAUUAACUAAUUAUCAUUCGUUAUUCUCUUCCUUUUCCUAUUCCCAAAAAUUCAUACUUCUGGUGAGUACGCUGUCUAUUUACUCCUUCCAAUAAAACCCAGUUUAGAGAUAACUUUAGGACCUCAACUUUUGGGAUGUAACCUCUUCAAUCCAUAGACCAACCUGGAAAAACAUUUCCAAGUUGCACUCUAUGCACUUGAAAAAAUAAUGUCUCAAGGUUGAACAUAGACCAUCAAAUUUUUGAAGGGUGGGACCCAAGUGUUUGACAACUCAAAAUGCAAAUUUGUUCUUUUGAAAAUAAUCGAUUAGAAGUUCUUAGGUGGUUUUCAAAAUUUUAGAUUGAAAAGAUCAUCCCAAGUAGGUCUUCUAACUGAGAGAGUAGAUAUAUAGUUUGUUCCUUUGGGACUUGGGAGCAUAGUAUAUGUGCUCUUUUUCUAUUCUUUGGGGCGGGUAAUUUGUUUGUUACUGCCUUGCUGGUGUAUGAAAUAAUCUGUUGUUAGCAUUUUCUAAGACGCAAAAGGUUCUGAUUUAUUAACAGUAGGGAAGUAUUCCGUACACCUUUGGUUUGUGCUACAUGGUACGCCACAAGAAUCUUGACCCUUCGUUCUCAAUCACUAAGGGUGGAGUUUAAUUAUAUCAAGUUAAUAACUAUGCAAGUUGUGUGUGUUAAAAGGAAUUUCAAGAAAUCUUCACAAUCCGUCAUCAGGAAUGUACAAUAGAUGUCACUACAGUUUACCAUAAUGUUUUACCAUUGGUGCGUGGCAUAUCUUUCCUAUAUAUUGAUGUGGGUUGGUUUGUGAUUCAUUAGCAUGAACUAGCAGUGACUUGAACUUUGAACUAAGACACUGUUUUCUCCUCAUUUAUUGGGCUUGUAAAAUUUGGUUCGACAUUGAUGCUUCUUGGCUUGAUUGGCUUGGUUGGGUGAAUGAGGGCGGUGUGAUUGGGCUUUAGUUGAUAGGAAAAGGUGUAAAUGGUUCAUUUUCUUUCUCUCUUAUCAUGUUUUCAGUACAAAUUAGUUGAGUUACAUCUCUUAAGAAUCAGUCAUGUUCUAGUUGUAGCCUUUUCAAUGGCUACUGUGCUGGGCAGAUGUUCUUUGACAAUCUAGUUUUGUCACAUUCAAUUCUAUACUCAUUUUCUGGUGAAUUCUUAUUGUGAUCAAUCUAUACAUGAUCACAGCUAAUUUUCCACUAAUUAGAAGAUUCCCUGUAAUGCUUCAGUUCACUUGACGAAGGCUGCGAUAAUCUUUCACAAUAAUUUUGGACUGCUUUUUUGGACACUGUUGGACACUGCUUUUUUUUGACAAAAAGGAUUGUCACAUUAUAUAGCUUCUUCUCAUGGAUAAUUGUUGGUCAUAAAAUAAACAGGGAUGACCUUAGAUAAUCAACUUCAGUGAGUAAAUAAUCAAACUCAGACUCAUAGAAGAGAAGCAAUUAGAGAAUUACUUCUCCCAGUAAAUAAUUAUUUAGUUAAAAAACACACUUACCCUUAUGUCUUGUAAAACAUUCUUAGGUUGGUUGAUAUAACACAAUGGUACAUCGUGUAUGCAUGUGGAGAGAGAGAGAGAGAGAGAGAGGUCCACCUUGAAGGUUAUGUACUUUUCUAUUUGGUUAUUGUUUUCAGGUGGUGGUUGUCUAUCUGUUUGUGAAGAUUGUUUUCUUUUAGGUGAUCUGUGCUAGACAUACAUUUGUCGGUAGAGAGGAGAUCUGCAAGUGCACUUUUGAUGUUAUAUGGAAAGCAGGUCCACGAGCUGGGAAGAAAGGAUCUAUUCAUAUUGAGAAUAUUUGCAUCCUACAACCUGGCAAUGCGAAGAACAACCCAACACUGAAAUCUUUUCUCACGGCCUGUGAGAAACUUAUCAGGUCAGUUGCUGAGGAUUCGAAGAACUUGUUUUACCUUAUUCUCACUUUCUUCAUGAUAAAUAUCGGUCUUAUAUAUGAGGGAUAGAUAGUAGAUGCUAAAAAAAUAAUACUAACUUAAGUUCUUUCCUCAACAGCUCGAAGAAAGAAAUCCUGGAAACUGUUGAUGUAAAUAAUAUGGAUGGAAACUGUCAUGCGGACAGAAAUUUAGUGAAGAAUUACUCUUCCGCUGAGAAGACCGAGGACAAUGAAGAUUGUAAUAGAGUGAGUGUGUUUAUCAAAGCCCCUGAAGACUUACAUACAUAUUAUGCUAUCUUCAUUGAGAAUUUGGAGCCAGAUCUCACUGCUUCAGAGAUUGUGGAUUUCAUCUAUGAACAAACAUUUGUUUCUUGUCAAGCCUGUGUGUCCCCUAGCAUAUCGACAGAGGUUUAUGCAAUGGGAGCUAUUUUCUUGGAGAAGGAAAGGGAAUUCAAUUAUGUAUUUGGCUUUCUAUGUGAUCCUGGUCGCAUGAUCAUUUCACUGAAAGGAAGGUAUGCCCAUUCUAAGUUGCUUGAGCUUUGUUUCUCUCAUUAUAGCUUAGUUUGCUUUUUUGACCAUAACCAAAGAAAAGUGACUUUUGCCCCUUCAUUUCUUUGUUUUUUUUUUUUUGUUUAUGGUUGUGAUGUGUCAUUAUUUUUAGGGUCUUGAUUAUUAUUUUAGGGUCUCGAAGUCUUUGGUAUUAUGGUUUUGAAAUGUUUGCUAAUCUUCAGGGCCUUCAUAUCUUCUUGCUCAAUGUUAUGGUUUUUGGUGCACUGAUGGAACACAGUAUAGAGCAUUGGUUUCUUUUGAAGUUGUGUUUUAGAUAUGAAUUAUACAGUUGAGAUAUUUGGAUGGGUUUUAAACUCGAUAGAAAUAUCAUUGGUUAUAAUUGUUUUCAGAUUUUGCUUUCCAUGCCACUUUUUGUUGGAUUCCAUUUUAUAUAAUGCCUUGUUCUUUGUGGAGUUAGUUCUUGAUUCCAUGAGCUUUUACUUUUUACUUUCAAGUCUGAUCACGAGUGUGACAAAGUCUUGCAAUCGUAAUGAUAUGGUUCAGAAAAGGUGUAAUAUUGGUUAGGGGCAUGUUUGUUGGCACUUCUAAAUGGUAUUGACCAUGUUUUUGCUUACACAAUCUUGCCACAAGUUUGUGAUUUUUGUGUACUCUUUUUUGGGCUUAUACAUGCAUUUCCAUUAUUGAAAUGUAUUUACAGAUGAUAUGGGCAUGGGGUUGUUUGGUUUCAGUAUUGAUUAUUACAAGACUAUAUCCCACAGUAGAAUCCCACUGCUAACGCAUGCAAAAGUUAUAAUUUAUUUACAAUAGCAUAUCUAUUAAACAGGAAAAGAAAAGUACGAUGUAUUCUCUCAUGUUUGGCAUGAUCUUUCAUUGUCAUAAACUUGAUAUUACCACCUUAGAAGUCUACAUGAAUCUCAAUUUAUUUUUUUGUACGUGUUUUGUGUUUUCACAUGAAAUGCCAUUUGUUCAUCUCAUGCUAAUAAUCUUAUACUUCUUUUAUAUGGCUUUUCUGUUGGGCCCAUUACUAAAUCAACAAAUAAAUAAAUAAAAUCGAUAAACAACUUACUCGGAUCUGUCUUUAAAUCAUACGAGAGACAUAAGGUUCCAUACUAAAACCUACAGACCAAGCCAUCCGAUGACAGGCUACCUUGAGAGUCCUCUUUGAUGAAUCUCAUUCACCUUCGAUGUCUCAUUUUCAUCCUUCUCUUUUUUCUGCUUUACUUGAGGGAUUAACCUCUUUUAUAGAGAACCAUUUGGUUUGUAACUGUCACAUUCAUGGUCUAUAGGAGUUGAGAUCCAAGUAUAACUCCUACCUUAAUUCCCUUAGCAUUAACAAGUUGUCACCAAACUAUUAAUCCUAUAUAAAGAGCUAAACUUGUAAUUAGUCCACUAAUGACCCACAUAAUAGGAUGCCAUCCAAAAUUCCUACAAUUUAAUAAAAGAUAUUUAGAAAAUAAAUAAUUUUGUGCAUCUAUAAUAUAGAAAAAUAAUUCUUACAAAUAAUCUAAACACACCAUUGGGUUUUCCAUCCAGUGUCACUCUAGGAAAACUCCAAAAUGGAUCCUAAUAUAUGGCAUUGCCUCAUGUCAACCACAUGGGAUUUUACAUAUACCAUAUAAUAUGGCUUUUGUACUAUUAUUGAAAAAUAAAUUCCUAGGAGAAGAGAGGGCCUGAUAGCCACAGUUCCAACAUUUUCAGCUCUACCUCAUUAGAUCUCUUGUACAACACAUCAUUUUGUUUCAAUAUCAGUGAUUCAUACUCAUUUACUGUCUUUCUUUAUUGUCUCUCUGAUUCUACUCACUCUAAUCCAGAAUUUGAUCAAUAUGGGCCUAGCGUUGUUUCAUUACAAGUCGGGAAAUAGUUCUCUAUAUACAUGUGUUUAAACAGGAACAAUGUAAACAGAGUACAUGCAAGCAUUCUUAGAAUGCUAACUCUAGUAAUCUCCACCAAAAAAAAAAGAGAAAAUUCUUUUCUUCACAAUUUAUGGGGGCUAAAGUUCCUCUCUGGCCUAAACACAGAACAUGAUUGAACAAGCAUUCGAAAAAUUAGAACUGUCAGUGAAGCAUAACUUUUUAUCAAUGAAGCCUUUGGCUAGAAAAUGACAUGAAGCCUUUGGUGUUGCAGGCUUCAAUUAAUAUUUAACACUACAAAAUAGGCCAUAUAUGUGCAUGGGUUUGUCCCCCCUUUCGUUCUGGUGAAAAUUGUACAAAAUUGACUACAGUUUCUGGUUCAUCAUUUUCCUGAUUAGUGUUAGAAAUUUGUGUCCAUGAUAAAUAAAUUUUUUGUUUUAAAAUCUUAUAUGCUUCUCUCUUGGCAGACCUUGGGUGAUAACCGAGAAAGAAUGUAGGUCAGGAACGCUUGGAAAUGCUUCUAUGUUCAGACUGUCAUCAUCUAAGGUCAGUAUGAAAUUAAUACUUGCAUUCAACUUGAGUGACAUAUAACUGAGAAAUCCAGGAAAUCAAUGGUCGUGAAGCAUGUGUUGCCUUCAGUUGGCCUAUGCAUGACAAUUAAAUACCUAUAUUAUAGUCAUUUUUUCUGUUUUGGGGCAUUAUAGUUAUUUAUCAGUGAUAGAAGCCUUCUAAACAACUGGACGGGCUAGUUGGAUGGUUUAGAAAAGAUCGGUCAUGAAUACCAGUCAAAAACAAUAUUUGAUCUGUUUUAGCCUGUCGGUGAGUGACUUUUUUUGUCAUAUAUUUUAUAUCUUUAAAUAUUAAUUUUAUUUCGCUUUAUUUUAUUUUAUAAACCCAGCUGGUCUGGCAAUCAAAUUAUUUUUUAUUGGAUCAGGCCUCUCACCAUUUCGAUGGCUGGUCUAAUCCUCAUAAUAUUGAUAUCUGGAAUGUUAAAUUCUCUCUUUCAACCAAGUAAAGAUCUGUUAUUCAAUAUCAAGGUUGGAAGAGAAGGGGUUCUUAUUCUAUUAAAGAAAGGAAAAAAACUGGAUUGAUAUGUUCAUUCAAAUAUUGGUUCGUGCUUGGUUUGAGCAUACUAUUAAUUUUGCUCUGGUUUUGGAUGAAGACAAGCGUUAUUGUUGUUUGAUUCUCUGGAAUUGAUUCUCUCUCAUAUUCCUCUCUUUGUUUUUAAACUUAGCAGUUUGUAUUGCAUUGUGCUUGCAGGAGGAAAAUGGAGUAAUAAUAAAAAGAGAAAGUUGCAGCAAAUUAAAGAUUGUCCCAAAAGGUGUGGAAGAGUAUGAGAUAGGACUAAAACUGAAGGCAUUAUUCAUGGAGUUUCAGGAGCACUUGGGCCGCCUUCAUGAAAGACUAGCUAUGGAAGAGAAGAUGAUCAUGAUUUGAAAGGUCCAAUAGAUGCCACUAUAGGUAGAUACAUACAUGCAUUAGAUGCAUAAGUAUAUGGAUAUGUACAUACUAUGGACAUAGGCUCAUUUUUGUGCAUAUGUCUGGGUGACUUCCAUGCAUAUGUCAACACAAGAGAGAGAGAAAUGGGGGUCAUGGUGGUAGUUAUUUUACUGGCUAGAGAGAGGGGGAGGGGGGUGGUGGCAUGUUCACAUGUUUUGGUGGCCAGGCUUUUAUACCUUCCAUUAACUGUGGAAGCUGUAGAGGUACAUUUGGGGUUACAUUUCUCGAGGAAGCUCUAUUUUCUAGACAUUUUUAAAGAGUAAUGAUCCCAUAGGACCCUUCUCCAUCCAUGUAUGUAAGACUCCAAAGGAUCAUCAUUAAAGUUGACACGGAUCUAUAGAAAAGUCAAGUCCUACACCCAUGUAAUAACUUUUUUAAAAAUCCAUAUCAUCUUUAAUGGUGAUCCUUUGGGGUCCUACACACAUAGGUGGGGGAGGGUCUUAUAGGAUCAUUACUCAUUUUUAAAAUGUGACUUCCACGUAUCUCUUAGCAUAUAAAAUGUUUAAGUAUGUGUGAGCUAUUCGUAGCUCUCAGAUCUAAAUAGGCGGUUGUGAUAGCUUUAGCCACAAUGUUCGGCUUAUUUUUUGUUCGGCCUAUUUUUUGUUGUAACUUUUUGUGCAAAUCAAUUUUGAAUGACUUUUGGGGUAUGACCUUAGGAACAACUAGAAUUUUUUUUUUCAAAAAAGACUUUCGAUGAAAAAAUGACAAAAAAUACCUAUAAUGAUUUAGGAGUAUUUUGAUUAUUUUUGUCAGAAAUAAUAAAUUAUUUUUAUCAGAAAUAUUUUUUUUUCUUAUUUUUAUCAUAUGCAUCCCUAUGAGAGUUGUGCAUGCUCCCAAUUUCAAAGCAAAAUGCUUUAUAAAAUUUAAACGAGAAAUAAAAUACUUUGAGUGGUUUCAUCAAGAUUAGAUGUCUAAAAAUAGGAAAAAGUUUAUAUAAUAAGGGUGAGGCCCUAAAGAAUCAAAUUAAGGUGCACCCCAAAAAUUCACUAGAAGAGGUUUUUUCGAUACUAAAGAAUCCUCAAAUCAAUUAUCUCGACUUCAAGAUGUAUGAAAAUGAGAAAAAAUAGAUUACAAAUCUUGGAAAUUGUGCAUCUUGUAUUGUGUUUUUGAACCAUCAAUUUUCAAAAAUUUUAAUUGUUCAUAUAUCUGUUGGAUCUACAUUUGAAACUUUAAAUUUUAUAAUUUGAAACUUUAAAUUUUAUAAUUAGAGAUGAAAAUAAACUUUUAGGCUAUCAUAAAGAUUUUUAAUAUUGAAACGAAAUCUUUCGAUACUAUUUGAAAGUGCACCUUACUUUGAUUGUUUAAGGCCUCAUGUGAUUAUGUAUGUACUUAUAGUUGCAUCUAUUGGCCCUUUGAAAGCAUGAUCUUCUUGUCUUCCAUGAAUAAUGUCUUGAGUUGUAGUCUUUCAAAGCAUGAUCUUCUUGUCUUCCAAGGCGGCCCAAGUGCUUCUGAAACUCCAUGAAUAAUGUAUUCAGUUCUAGUCCUUUCUCAUACUUUUACGCUCCUUUUCGAACGACCUUUAAUUUGCUGCAACCUGCUCAUUUCGAAUCACCUUUAAUUUGCUGCAACCUGCUCUUUUAUGACUGCUCCAUUUUCCUCCUGCAAGCACAAUGCAAAUUAAAGGCUGUCCGAAAAUGCAACAAAAAAUUAUUCGUUGUGCUUGAUAAAAUAAUUUCCUCAUACUAAACGGAGAUUGUCCAAUUUUUCGGAUUCCAAAAUUGUUGUUAUAGGAUACUUAAUAUCAUGAUUGUAAUGUGGAUACUAACAAUCCCCAUUAAAUAAAAGAAAUGUAUAUAAUAAGACCAUUUACUUAUGAAACAAGGAUAUCACAAUCAUUGUUGCUUGUUAGAUUUGAAAUUAGGCUGUUAAGCAUGUGUCAUUGCUUAGAUAUAAAAUCCUAAAAAAAAAUUCUCAAAUAAUUUGACAAUUUCAUUUAUUGGAUUUCACAUCCAAUGGCUAAAAAUAAUUGUGACCUCCUUAUAUUAGUGUUUUAAAAAACGUCGAGUCGGGAAUUGGCACAGUCCGUGCCGGUUCUAGUAUUUUACACGGAAUCGUCCGAUUCCAAAGAGAACCGGGCGAUUCUGUAUAGUGCAUCGUCGAUUCACUGUACCGAAUCGGCGAGUCUCGUGAAGAACACGGGCUGCACAGUGUUCUUCACGGGUUUCUUCAAAUUUUAUCUUUUUUUUAUCAUUUUUAUUCUUUUUUUUUGCCAUGUAAUCAAAUAUUCAGGCUUUAUGCAGCUUUUUUCAACCUUUUCAUGCAUUAAAUGGUGGAAAACUUUCAAUUUUUUGGAUCAAGAAAGUUCGGGUUUUAGGGUUUCCGCUUUUCGUUUUGUUUCGUGCCAAAUAGGGCAUGAAUCUGUGAAAAGUUUGAGGCAUAUUGAUCGUAAAUAUGUUCAUUGGAAAUUUCUGUUACGAAUUUAUGAUUGCCUUUGAGAAAACAUAUUAAUUUGGAGAUUGAAGCCACGGGUUCACGAAACCAGGUAAGAACUCUGCGUUUUUUUUUUUUCCCGCCAUUUGAUCAACUUCAGUCCAUAUUUUGAAAAUAUUCAGUUAAAUUUGUAGGGUUUUAAAUCUUUAUCGUGUCUUUUAUCAUUUACCAUAUUCAAUUUUAUUUAAUUUACUCAAUUACAGUCUGAGUUUUAGAAGAACACAGUGAUGUCUGUGGAAAAAAAUUCUGCUAUUUUUUUUUUUUUCGGCCUUUCGAUCUAUUUUUCAUGAUAUAUUACAAAUAAUGUGUUAGAUUUCUAGGGUUUUGAAUCGUUAUAGUCUUGUUUAUAAUCAGAUGUAUUCAAUUUGAUUUGAUUUAUUUAAUUUGAGCUUCAUUUUUUAGAUUCAAUGACUGUUGUCUGUGAAUAACUGUGUUUUUUUUUUUUGCUCAAUUUAAACGAUUUGAUUUAAUUUAUUGAUGAUAAUGUGUUCAUAAUUUAGGGUUUUGAUUCUUUAUAGUGUUGUUUAUCAAAACAUAUACUCAAUUGGAUGUAAUUUAUUCGUUUGGAGGUGGAUUUUUUAGGUGAAAUGGCUAAUGUAAGGUAGCUCUGUGAAGAACUUUUUUUUUUUUGUAAUCCAUGAUCGAAUUUUUGAAAAUUUGUGAUUUUUCAAAAAGAUGUGAAAAUCGUAACAAUUUUUAUUAUCAUGAGGUAUUAAACCAUAUUUUUAAUUUUUAUUGUUUGAGUUUGCUGUCCUUUUUUUUUUUUUAUCCAUGAUCGAAUUCUUUGAAAAAUGAUGAUUUUCCUAAAAGAUGUAAAAAUCGUGACCAGGUUUUGAUUAUCAUGAGGUAUUAAACCAUAUUUUUAAUUUUUAUUGUUAAAGUUUUUGUUGAAAAAAAUUGUAUGUUGAUAGAUUAUUUAUGCAAAAAAAAUGCAUGUUAUUAUAUUUUUAAUGCAAAACUAUUUUUUUUUAAUUUGUUGUUAAUGCAUUUUUGAGUUGGAAUGACCGAUGUUAGGUAGCUUUGUGAAGAAUUAUUUUUAUUUGUUUUUUUUUUAAUACAUGAUCGAUUUUUUUUGAAAAAUCGUGAUUUUCCAAAAAGAUGUGAAAAUAGUGAUCAGGUUUUGAUUAUCAUGAGGUAUUAAACCAUAUUUUUAAUUUUUAUUGUUAAAUUUUUUGUUGAAAAACUUGUAUGUUGAUUGAUUAUUUAUGCAAAAAAAUGCAUGUUAUUAUAUUUUUAUUGCAAAACUGUAUUUUUUUUAAUUUGUUGUUAAUGCAUUUUUGAGUUGGAAUGACUAAUGUUAGGUGGCUCUGUGAAGAAUUGUUUUUAUUUGUUUUUUUUUUAGUACAUGAUCGAUUUUUUGAAAAAUAGUGAUUUUCCGAAAAAAUGUGAAAAUAGUGACCAGGUUUUGAUUAUCAUGAGGUAUUAAACCAUAUUUUUAAUUUUUAUUGUUACAGUUUUUGUUGAAAAAAUUGCAUGUUGAUAGAAUAUUGAUGCAAAAACAUACAUGUUAUUAUAUUUCUAAUGCAAAAUAUUAUUAUAUUUUUAAUUUAGUUUUGCAUUAAAAAUGUAUUUUCAAUUUUUAAAAUUUUGAACGCAAAAAAUACAUGUUGUUAAAUUGUAUUAUCGUGAGGAAUUAAAGUGAAUAUCAUUGUAAAAAAAUCGUGGCAUGUAUGACAAUUAUAUUAUCUUGCAUUUUUUCAAUUUUAUUAUUAAAUUUUUAAUGCAAAAAAUAUAUGUUAUUGAUAAUUGAGUUGUAGCCAUGUUUGGAGCUUGCAUUUUGUAUUAUAUUAUCCUAUAUGUUUGUAAUUGAUAUAUACGAAAAUAUUAUUGUCAAUAGAAGUAUUUUUGCAAUAACAAAUAACAACAAAUAACCAGCGUGACCAAGAAGAAGAACGACGUCGUCUGUCAUUUUAUUUUUAGAUCGUAUGUUACUAAUUGUAUGCUUUAUUGUAGUCCAUGUAUGUUGAUAUACUUAUUCCAUGAUAAUUCUAUGUUUAUCCUUUUGUGUGAUGUAAAUUAAAUGGUAAGUAGUACUUCAUGCAGGGAAAGAACAUAUCAAUAUUCGCAUAUUCAUGCAAAGAAAUGAAAAUUUUUAAUGGAAUACCCUCAUUUUUUAUUGAAUUCCUAAAAAACAAUAUUUAUAAUGAAUUUUAAUAAUUUUUUCGGAUUUUUUUAAAGCUUUAAUCUGACCGAUUCAGUCGAUUCCCUAUCCGGAUCGCCGAUUCACCGAUCCGAAUCAAUUUUUGAGGUGUCCGAUCCGGAUCAUCGAUCCGCUUUCUAAACCAUUGCCCUAUACUCAAAAUUAAUGGCCUCAUACUAUACAAUCCCUUAAAUAAGUCCUUAAACAAAUUCUCGAGUCUUUUACAUGAGGGGUAAAUGUGCUCCCGCGGGAUCAAUGUACAGUUGCCAAUCAUAAAACAUCCUUUAAAAGUGGACAAAAGCCCCUAGUGUAAGAGAAGUGGCUUGUAUGAUUCAAGCUCAAAUUGAGAAGUCCAGCCAUCCAUAAAUUCAAAACAUAAGAGAAGAUAUGAAAGAAAGGAGAGAAAGACCCACUAUUUAAGGACCUUGUAUACUAUGCUCCUAUAGGAGCACAAUGUAUAUCUACUCCAUCGAUUAAAAAACCUAUUUGGAAGGAAUUUUGUAAUCUAAAACUUUGGGAACCACCUAAGAAUCACUGCAUGAUUAUAUUUAAAAGAAAAAAUUGAGUUUUUUUUACACUUAAAUAUAGUCUCUUAAAAUUGGAGGGUCUCUCUAUCUGUUUUGAGAUAUUAUUUUUCUUCAAAUGCUUUGAGGGUGCAAUUAGUAUGUUUUUUGUUGAGGUUAAACAUCUAUGACUUGAGGAGUCCUAAAAUUAAUCCUAAAUGGGGUUUGGCUCAAAGGAAUAUAUUUACAAUAAACUCCCACGAUAGGCAAGCUUUCAAAUUUCACAUGGGAUGGUUAUUUAUUUUAGAAAUGUGUCUCCUACUUAAAACCAUCAUUUGUGUAAACAAAUCAUUUUAGUGGGGUAGCACACUUUAACAUUGUUGCAACGCCAAGGGCAGCCAUCUCGACCAGGUUUACAUAUUAGGCCACAUCCCUUCAUCAACACCACCAAUGACUCUUGACUAGACUAGCUUCACUUCUGCCAAACCUAAUAGCACAAAACACAUGAAUGUCAAGGAUUUUUUUUUUUUCUUUUCUCAACCACUUUACCCCAAAUUUUAUUUUAUUUUCUAAAAAAAGCCUUCUUUUUUUUUUUACCAAACUAAAAAGAAAAUAAAAAUUGAAGAAUAAUUUUAUACUGCAUAUUGACUGUUGGGCUCACCCAGUUAGCGCCUUCUUGCACGAAUGUGGAUAUGCGCUACAGAAACAUGAUACAUGGAAUACAAAAUAUGCCAAUGAUGAUAUGUGUGUUUGAGUGAGAAAAACAGGCAAUAAAGAAAUAAAUCUUACUGGCACCGGAUUUAUGUGGUUCACCUUUUCAGACUACGUUAACAGAAGAAAGAGAUCGAAUCCAUUAUAACCUUAACAUGUUACAAUGGUCUUCCAAGAAAUAACAUUUUAUGGGUUCUCUACUUUUUUUUAAAGACUUUCUCUCUUUAAGGUUUUUUUCUAUGAAGAUCUUCUCUCUCAUAUGCUUAUUUUCUUUCUAGAGGUUUUUUCUUUCUAAAAGAAAAUGAUAUUCUUCUCCCUCUAGGAGAAUAAUGACUUUCUCUCUUUCUUCUUCUCUACAAAAGAAAGCUUCUUGUAUUAUUUUUAAGACACCCAGAAAAGACAACAGCCUAUACAAAGAGUCUCUCACAUUAUUCCUUUUAUAUGUGGACCAAGAAGAGACAACAAUCCUAUACAAAGAGUCUCCCAUGUUAUUCCUUUUAUAUAUGGACCCAGAAGAGACAACAACCUACAGCGUAAUUUAUCAUUGUAUUUAACAAUUUUGGAUACCUAUAUACCAUUAUUUUAUACAUAGGGCAUUUUUUAGUAAUAGUAUUUUUUAUCGUUUGGAGGGGUGUGACAUUAUCAACACACUAGUGACAUUUAAUGUUCAAUGUGGGUGAUGUCAUACCCAUGUUGAUGAUGUCACAUCCCUCCUAAUGACAAAAAAUACCUUUAUGAAAAAUUCUCCAUGCAUAAAACAAUGUUAUAAGUAUUUAAAAUUGUUAAGUAUAAUGAUAAAUUACUCUAUAGUAUGAGCACCCUAACAUAACCCAUAUAUAUACCUUAUUGAACUUUUACGGUAUGUUGACUACGAGUUCAUAUCCUCACACUCAACUAUAUGUAAUGUCUAGAAAAGGUGUUGAGGUCGUGGUGGUGGCAUUCCCACAUCUAGUUACUAUUUUGUGUUUUUUAUUCCUUCACUAACAUUUUAAAAAAUCUAACUCUUAGUCUACAUUAAAAAAAAAACGGGUAGGGCCUAUCUUCUCCACUAAAUUACCAAAUAAAAGAAAAAAGAAGAAUUGAAUUUGUUUUUUUCUGUUUUUUAGUAGAUUAGUGAGAAAAUGACAAUCUAUCCAUAAUAAGAUUGGAACUCAAGAUGUCAUAUUGUGACACUCAUGACCCUGAUCACCUAUACCUUGAGUCCAUUUUUAUAACCAAAAAAUAAUAAUUGAAUUUUGAGUUUUUCGACACUUAAGUCUCAACCUCUUAAAAUCGGAAGGUCUCUCUAUUCAAUUUUGAGACAUUAUUUAUUCAGUGAGUGCAAUUUUAUGAGUUGAGAGGUCCUAAUUGGGUUUUGCUCAAGGGAAUAAAUUUGAUAGAUGUGAUAAUAGAUGCGAUAGACAAUUAAUGCCCAUGAUUCCCACAGGAAACACUUAUUAUUAUGGAAAUCUGCGCAAUAUUGUAUAUAAAAGUAUUUAUUCCGCGAUGGCAUGAAGAUCAAAACACCAUAGGAUAAUUUUGUUUAUUUUAGAAAUUUGUUUUUCUUAAUUAUGACACGUUAUUCUCCAUACAAAUCGCUCUAGUAGGGUUGGCAAGUAUUAUAAUUGUUGCACGAAAAAGGAUUGGGUCUUGGCGGUAGUACCCUACAUUCGAGUCACCAUAUUGUAAUUUUCAUUCUCACCACUAACAUUUAUAUAAUAUUUUUAAAAAAAUUAAUUCUUAAUCUAUUUAAAAAAAACUUAAUAAAAAUACGCCUUCCCAAUUAAAUUACCCAAAUAAAAAAAAAAUUAUAAUUUGUUGCAAUGCCAAUAGCAGUCAUCUCCUACAAAGAUUGACAGUCAUCUCCAGUACGGAAAACAUAUUGGGUUUCAUCAAGACGUCUCCAUCAACGAUUGGGACCAGGCCUGCUUCACUUAUGCCAAAACCAAAAACGAAAGUAAAAGUCGAAUAAUACUUCUAAAUCCAUUCAAGAAAUGGGGAAAUUUAUUAAAAGAAAUUCAAAUUAUCAACUAUUUAACAUUUUUAUACAUUUUCAACUAUUUGAGAUAUUUUUGAUGAGAUCUUUUAAAUUAAAUCAAAAUUUAUGGAAAAAUGUUAAAUAAUUGAUAAAUGAGAUGCCUUUUUAUAAAAUUCACAUACAAAUCUGUUUGCAACAUCUUUUAUAUUCUUCAUCUAGGAUAUGCAAAAAACAACUCAAGCAUUUCUAAGACAAAAAGUUUAUAAUUUUCGAUGGAUUUUGCUUAUGAGAACAAUAAGUAUUUUGUCUCAUGGACAAAAACUAGGUUGAGCAUUAAACCUUAAAUGUCUCAAUGGAUUUCAUAGCUAACAAAAUCAAAAGCCAAAUGAUAAACCCAGGUCCUUCUAUGACAUUUGAGAUUUUGGGUACUCGUGGUUUAGUACUUCAAAGUUUAAAAUUUAGAAACCAAAAUUAACGAUAAUAGUAAAAAUCAAUCAAGUGCAACAGUUGCACAACAUUGUUAGUAUUUUUGGUUUUUGAAAAAUACUUUGAUAUAUUUCAAAAUAACGUAAUGGUUUAUCUGGUUUUUCUAAAUUUUAAAUAGUUGAUGAGAGAUAGAGGAGUGGGUUUUAGUUUCACAUUAAAUAAGAGAGUAUAAAUAGUGGUAUUUAAGAGUAGACAUUCUCGUAGCUUGCGUUCUUAGAACAGUGGUGAGAGUAUCGGUACAUGCACACCAUGUGAGGGUGCAUAUUAUGGGUCGAAAAUAUGAUUGAUUCUUAAGCCAAAUUGAGUGUACCUCUCCCUGCUAUACUUUAUAUGCUUUCAGCACGGUCCUUGUAUUUUACAAUCACAUAUUAUUUAUUUGUGUAGCCCCAACUUAAGUAAAAAAAUAGCUUUGUUUUGGACCAUCUCAUAUAACUUUCUCCCUAAAUGCUUGGUAUUUAAGAUUUUAAAUAGAGAAACUAUUUCAGAUAAAACUAUUUCAAAUUAGAUUAGAGAAAAUAGCUCAAAUUUCAAAUUGUCAAAGACAAAACGUCUCUAACUUCAAAUUUUUAGAGAGAAAAGCACAUCUCAAAAUUUUUAGUUUUUAGAGAAAAAUAUUUCAAAUUACAAAUUGUUAGAGAGAGAAACUAUCUCCAAUUUCAAGUUUUGAGAGAGAGAGACUAUGAGAUUUUGAAUUUUUGCAAAGAAAAAAGUGAAGGCAUGGGAAAGAAUCAUCGGUUUAUACAUGAAGGGUAUUUUUAUCCAAAAGAUUUUUUUUUUUUCUCAUCAGAUAGUUGUAAAGAUGAGGGCUUUUUAAGAAAAAAGCAAAAAAAAGCAUUGUAAUAUAUUAUUUUUAAUAUAUUAGACUUCUUAAAAGGUUAUUUUUACUGUGCUUCUCCGACCUUUUGCAUGAGGGUAAAUUGAGUAUUUUAACCCUCUUCUAGAUAAAAAAUUUAUUUGAUCUUUUUUUGUCCCGUCUUACACGAUUUUUUUUCCCUACAGCUUUCUCUUUAUCUCUCUAUCUAAAAACCCAAUUCCUAAGCUUUUAUCCCCAUAACAUUCUCUCCUAAAAAUACAAUUAACUAUUCAUCUUUUUACAUUCUCUCUCAAAACGCCCAAUUUAUUUUUAAUUUUUCUUAUUCUCUCUCUAGAACGCAAUCUUUUUUUGCCUACUCCAUAUUAUCUCUCCAAAACUAAAUUCAAAUAAAAAAAAGAGAGGAAAUUUUAAAGAGACGAGAAAUCAAAGAAGAUAGAUAAAUCACAUACUUGAGGUUUUUAUGAUAUAAUUUAUUCUUUAUAAUUGGUUUCUCUUUCUUCUUCUAUAAUUUUGGUUGCAGAGAGAUAAAAUGAGAGCAUGUACAAAUGGGCAAUAUUUUUAAAAAGAAAGAGUGUAAGAGGAGGGGAAAUGGGCUGGUUUGUAAAGAAGGAUUGUAAGGGAAAGAAAGAAGGUCGAAUUAUGAGAGAGAGACAGAAUGAGAAAUGAGGAAAUAUUGUGCUGAGUUUUCAGAGAAAAAAUAUGACUAGAGGGAAGAAACCAUCGAAAAAGUAUCAUUAAAAAAAAAAAGAAAUAUGGAACAAAAGAGGAGAUAAGGAAAAAGAGUUCUAAAAUUUUUCUUUUGCAAGAGGGGCAAAUUGGUCCAUUUACUCCUCUAUAAAACUGGAGAGGGGAUUGUAUGCAGUGAGAUUAUUUAUCUUUGGUACGGGGGUCGCAAGUACUUAUAAUCAUCUAAUGUGAAAUUUGAGAGUUUUGGUGCGUCACAGUUCCAUAUAAUUUCUUUUGUACUUUGAGCUUUGUCAAUGAAAUAAAUACAGCCACCCAAUUUCACAUCCAAUGGUCAAGAUUAUUAGUGACCAUCUUAUACUGAAGGUAAAUGGUCUCGUUAUACACUUUUCUUGAGAUCUAAUUUAUUCUCACAAGGCAUUUUUCUUGAGAUCUAAUUUCAGUAAUUUUGAUAAAAUUGGGUGAAAAUAUUGUGGAAGAGAAAAGACUAUUGUCUAGUUGUUCGCUACAUGGACGAAAAUUUCUUCCUUGUGCCAAAUCCAUUAGCAAUUUUUGAAGUAUAGCGGUAUAGAGUUGUCCAAUCCGGAUUAGGAAUCAGCUUGGAACAAACUAAUUCUAGAAAGAAAUUGGAACCUACCAAUCCAUUCAAAAAACCCUUUUUUCAAAUUGUUUUAUUACUGCACAUUUGUUAAUAUUUUGGAAGUUGUUGGAUACGGCGAUAUCCAAAAUCACCAACAUAAAAAAAUCCCAUAGGAUUAUGAUUGAUAUUGAUAAGUUUCUUAAAAGAAAUCGAAAUCCAAAAAGAUUACAAAUAUGUGAUAUAUCUCUUGGUUCUUAAUGUAUAUGUAACACUUAUAGGAAAUUCCCUAUUUAAUAUGAAGUCAUAGCCAUAUAUAUAUAUAUAUAUAUAUGAGAUGAAAGAAUAUGUGUAUUCUAUUUGGGUCACCAUAUGGGAAUAUGUGACUUCCUCUAAAGAGAGGAGAAUGACCUCCUCUGCAUUCGAGGCAAUACAUCCCCUUAGAGAUAAGAGCUUUAUACAGAGAGAAAUGCUAUGUAUAUGCCUCAUGUAGAUUGAGAGGUUGGUUUCUUGUAGAUAAGUUGUUCCCAUGAAGAUUUUGGUAGUUUCCCUUUUUAGUAAAAAAAAGUGUCGGUUGUACUUAAGGUUCUACUCUUAGACAAUAGUUUAGUUGUGGAAUAGAUAUGGUAUGUUCUUGGAUAGUGGUUAGCUGUAGAAUAUAGAUGAGAGAUCGGUGGGUCGUGCCAAUCGGGAGAGCGAGUCUAAAACGGUUUACUUGAUUGGGUUUUGUCGAGAGUUAGAGAAGUAAUUCUAUAUCUUAAAAUAUAUGAUAUAACUUUCAUUAAUAUAAUGGAUUUCAAUUUGUCAUGCAUGUGGAUGUAGCCCUAUUGGGGUGAACCACGUAAAUCUUUAUGAUCUUGUAGUGUGCAUGUUUUAUGUUUUAUUUCUCGUAUUAUGGCUCGUGCUCUCUUCUAUUUUGUUUCUAGCUGGAUACAUACACAAUCUUAGUGGGAUCCAAUUUGUGGGACUCAUGUUUUCGCAUAUAAGAGGGUUCUGAAAUCCUAACAAGUGGUAUCAGAGUGUAUGGUUCAGUACAAGGCUAGUGUUUGUACAUUCGGUUGAAGAAAAACACAUGUCAAAGUAUGCUAGUAUUUUAUUUGAGGUAGAGAAAUAUGAUAGUAAGCACAAUCUUUUUAGCAAGAAUGAUAAAAGAAUUUAUUUGGCAAAAAUGAUGAAUUCAUCAAGUUAUUAGUUGGAUGUUAGCAUGGUAGCAGGUGAUUUUGAUAUCAUAGUGGAGAUUGUUAGAUAUGGAAAUAUCCAAAAUUACCAACAUAAGAAAAUCUCAUAUAUAUAUANNNNNNNNNNNNNNNNNNNNCAGAGAUAAACACUAUGGAUGUGCCUCAUAUAGAUUGAAUGACGGCUUUCUUGUAGAGAAGGUGUUUCUAUGAAAAUUUUAGGUGGUUUCUUCUUUUAGUGAGAGAAGGUAUCGAUUGCUCUCAAGGGUAAAUCUCGAUUGCUCUCAAGGGUCUCUUCCUGGACAACAGUUUAGCUAUGGAAAAGAGUUGGAUCUCUUAUUAGACAAUGGUUUAACUGUGGAAUAGACAUGAAAGAUCAGUAGGUUGUGCCAAUCAGGAGAGCGGGUGUAAAAGGGUUUGUUCGAUUGGGUUUUGUCGAGAGUUAGAGAGAUAACUCUAUAUUCCAAAAUCUAUCAUGUAACUUUCAUUGAUAUAGUGGAUUUCAGCCAUCUUGGGGUAAACUACGUAAAUCUUUGUGUGCUUGUUUAUGCUUUAUUUCUCGUAUUAUCAUUCAUGCUCUCUCCUAUUUUGUUUAUAGUUGGAUAAGUAUACGAUUUUGGUGGGAUUCAACUUUUGGGAUUGCUGUUUUCGCAUCUAAAAAUAUUCUUAAAUCCUAACAGGGCGGCCAAUUCACACUGAUUUAAAUCCACAAUCCACCCACUUUUCCAUUUUCAAACAUUGGGCCUUAGUGUCUGAAAAAACAUUAGUUUGGUUCGAUAUUUGGACUGUAUUUUAGAAAUGAACUUGAAGCUAGGUGGUCAAGAUGGCUAGGCGCCAUCUUGAGUUCUUUUCUUACCAUUAUAUAAUCCUCAUUGAACUACCCAAAAAAUAAAUAAAAAAGAUUGGCGAUUUGAUGUUGAAAAGGCAUAGAAUUACCUAAUGUUCAGGAUUCUUACCAUUAGUAUUCAUCUUAAAAUGCCCGUACGCAAAAUCGCAUACAUAUGCCUAUACAAUCUAUUUUUUUGGGAAAAGUUUAUAUAGAGCCGAGGCUCUAAACAAUCAAGUUGGAACUUACCGCAAAACUUUCACUAGAAGAGGUUGUUUUGAUGCCCAAAUAUCACCAAAUUGAUCAUCUCGACAUGAAGAUACAUAGAUACGAGAGAAAAGUGGAUUUCAAGUUUUAGAAAUAGUGUAUUUUGUAACACAUUUUUGAACCAUCAAGUUUCAAGUUUUUAUAGUUCUGUCGAUCUGCAUUAUUUUUAAAGCGUUAAACUUUAUAAAUAAAAAUAAAAAUAAAUUUCGAACCACAUUUCUCGAUACUAUUUGAAGAUAGGCUUUAAUUUGAUUGUUUAGGGCCUAGGCUCUAUACAAACGGCACCCUUUUUUAUUAUUAUCAAAUGUACGUAUCUAAUCUCUUGUAUUUGUUUUUGCGUGUAACAUAAGCACACAAGAAACACACAAUUUCUGGUGAUCUUAUCCAUGCGACAAUUUAGACAAGUAUACAAACAACUAUAACUAUUACAAAAACCAUUUACUCUUGUUAUAAAAGGGUUACAAUAAUCGGAAAGCUUUAUAUGUUCCCCUACCAUCCAGCCGUUCAUUUUUUUAUCAAGAGAGUCACUCACUGUUUGAUUUUAGAUCUGACAUCUAAAAGUACUUUAUUUUUAGUUUUUUUUUAAUACAAUGUUUUUUAAUAUGAAAUUUGGUACGUGCAAUCUUCUCAUUGGGGCGCACCUAUAAAAAAUAUUAACAAUAAGUUUUUUAUAAAAAAUAAUGACCAAAAUACCUAUUGAAACUUUCAGGUGUAAUUUGAUCAUUUUAUUUUAUUGAAAAUAUUUUUUUAUAUAUUUCGUUAGUGCGAGUUUAAUAUAAGAAUAGACGUUCAAAAUUUAGUGGCAAAUAGUUUAUAAUAAAAAAUUAAACAUAAAAGAGUGUAGAGAUGUGACAUUGCGAUUGGGGCAACUUUAGCCUCCAUUAAAAAAAGGACACUUGGAUAACGGGGAACAUAGAACUUCUAUAUUGUAAGGGAACAUAGAAAGCUUACCCUACGAUAAUUUUUGUAAGGUGUGUGCCUCUAAUUAAAUUUAAUCACAUUAGUUUUGAUUUUUUCUUUUUUACAAUGAAGAAUCACACUCAUAAUUACUCGAUUUCACAUCUGAUAGUUAUGACCAAAAUACCCAAGGUAAAAUUCUUAUUAUAUAAAAUCAUUUUUCUUUUAUUCCAUAUGAAAUUUUCUCAAAGAAAAAUCCAAAUUCCCCUUUAUAUAUUUUGAUUUUGUUUAACUUAUCUAAUAUGUUUACGGGAAAUGAUCCUAUAGGACCCUCUCUCACCUAUAUGUGUAGAACUCUAAAGGAUCAUAAUUAAAUUUAGUACAGAUCUAUAGAAAAAUCAAAAUCCCACAGCCAUAUGAUAACUUUUUUAAAUAUUCGUGUCAACUUUAAUGGUGAUCCUUUGGAAUCCCACAUGCAUGGAUGGAGGAAGGUCCUAUAGGAUCGUUAUUCUAUGUUUAUACAUGUUGUCUUAAAUCUCCAUCCUAUAAAGUAUUAUUUUAAGAAAAAUGAUCUUAUAGAACUCUCUCCUACUAAUGUGUGUAAGACUUCAAAGGAUCGCUAUUAAAUUUGACAUAGAUCUCAAAAAAAUUGAAAUCCCAUACUCAUGCGAUAAUAUUUUUGAAGAUCCAUGUCAAAUUUAAUAUGAUUUUUUUGAAUCCUACAUACAUGGAUGGCGAUGAAUCCGAUAGGAUCAUUCUUUUUGUUUUAAUUUAUAUUUUAUUUUAUUUUAUUUAUUAUUAAUAUCUAUCUAGAUCAACUCUUUGGACUUUGGACCGAUCCUAGCUUGAUGCAAAUAAUUGAUGAAGUGAUCAGUGCGGACAUGCAGACAAGAUGAAAUGGGUAUGAGUUCCUCAUAGUUGUCGCUGUUAUAUGAUGCCUUUUUUUUGACAAAUAAUAUGCAUGUCACUUUCAUGUGUCCUAAUUCUUUUUUCUAAUCGUCUCUCUUUAAAUUAUUGUUAUUGAGUUUUAAUACGACAAGAUCCCUAUCUUUCCACGAAUUCCCUCCCUUACCCCUAUUUUAAACCAGUUCUGUACAUUUCAAACUAUGGAUGUCGCUUCAUGAAAAUAAAGCCUGACCUCGAGUACUUGGGUAAUGGAAAUUUUUAUGAUGGUUUUGAAAUUAAUUUUUAAUGUUGACAAUAAAAUUUAUAAUUAAAAAAAUAAUAUAAAUCUUGUAGAAAUAUAAAUAUUUAUUUUAAAUCAAAAUAAACAGUCUAAAUAGUAUGUUAUAAUAUACAUUAAUUUUAAAGCUUGAAAUCUUAAUUCUUUUCACAAUCACUGUGUAAAUCGAUAUGAUCGAUGUAAAGGUUUUUCAAUAUUUGACUUGCCAUUAUCGAUAUCAAUAAGUUAUGAGGUGAGGAUUUUUUUUUAAUUUACAUACUAUAAAUUUAUUUAUUUAUUAAAAUUUACAUCCUACCCCCAAUCUCUCUCACAAAGGAAUUACGUAAAUUCAGGCUCUCCCCCCCUUUCUCUCUCUAUCUCGAGCAUAAGAUCGUAGAAUUAUAUAUCGGACCAGGUUUCCAUAAGCCCAUAUAGAAAUGUGGGUAUCUUAAUAAAUUUAUUUUUGGGAUAGAAUUUUAGAUUUAAUUUUUGAGGAUAUAUAAUUUUUAACACGGAAAAUCAUGAAUAUAAAAAAUAAAUAAAUAUUAAAAACUAGAAAUAAUAAUUGUAAUAACAAUACAUUUAAGAAGUUAGUCUCCAAUGUUUUUAGAUGAACACCUACGUAGACCGCAUGUGUAGAAAUGCGGUCCAGCCGCCUGAAACAAUUUUCUUAUAUGUGAAGACUUAAUGCUUACUCCCUUUCCACCGCGAUUUACAGUAAGCAAAACUCUAGCUCUCUCAUUAUCGUCAUCUGUACACAUGUUCAGGGUGGAUUAACACCCCUAAUUGCCUGUCUUCACCUCUGCAAAUUGUUCUCACCACAUCUUCUCUCACUCCCUUUCCACCGCCAUUACAGUAAGCAAAACUCUCGCUCUCUCAUUAUCGCCAUCUGUACAGAUUUUCAGGGUGGAUUAACACCCCCUAAUUGCCUGUCUUCACCUCUGCAAAUUGGUCUCACCACAUCUUCUCUACUCCCCUUCCACCGCCAUUUACAGUAAGCAAAACUCCAGCUCUCUCAUUAUCGUCAUCUGUACACAUUUUCAGGGUGGAUUAACACCCCUACUUGCCUGUCUUCACCUCUGCAAAUUGUUCUCACCACAUCUUCUCCAUGGCAACAGCUGCUCUUUUUCAUGGCACCUCUUUACCCUUUUUCCGGUGCAAUACCAGAUGCACGAU